GAAGGGCAUUCAGCUGUAGAAACUCUGCCAGAUCAAGACUGGAGCCUGGUGCAGCCAUCUGGUUUGCCAGCCCUCAGUCAAAAUCGUCCAACCCAUGCUAGCAUGGAAAGCGGACGUUAAACAAUGAUGAUGAUGAUGAUGAUGUCUUUGUGUUUAUGUUUGUUCCUCCCACCUAUUAUUUGACCCCUAGUGUUGAUUUAUUUACAUGUUCAUAACUUAGUGGUUUGGCAAAAGUGACCAAUAGAAUAAAUACUAGACUUAUAAAAAUAAGUACUGGUAUCAGUUUGUCUGACUAAACCCUUCAAGGCAGUGCCUCAGCAUGGCCGCAAUCCAAUGACUGAAGCAAGUAAAAGAUAAUGGUUAAUGAAGAUAAUAAAAUAUUUUCAAGCAUUUACUGUUGUGUAACAAGAGCUCAUCUUCAGCUUGAAGAACAAACAUGGUCACUGAAUAUGCUAAAAAUAAUAGACCAAUCUUCCUCAAAUUGUUCUCUACAGAUAUUUUAAAAACAACAUAGAUAAUGUUGUUCUAAAUACAUUGUGUUUGGGAAAAAGAUGUACUGGUCAAGACUUGAUUUCCUUACAUUAGAGGUCUGCUGGUUCAGAGUUGACAAGCUGGGGUUAAACAACAACAGCUGAAACUGACUGAAAGUGUGGCUGUCCUAAAUAAGUUUGUGCUGUUCUCGAUACAUGGACUUUGGUAUGUGGCCGCAGAUGUGAAAUUUGGUGAACGUAGUAGCUAUACACUUAGACUUUGCAGGUGGUUCUUGCCAUAUACAUGAGAACAAUAGACAUAUAUACUCUUUUACAUAUUUACUCUUUUACUUGUUGCAGUCACUUGACCGCGGCCAUGCUGGAGUACCACUUUUAGUUGAGCAAAUCAACACCAGGACUUAUUCUUUGUAAGCCUAGUACUUAUUCUAUUGGUCUCUUUUGCUGAACCGCUAAGUUAUAGGGACAUAAACACACCAGCAUUGGUUGUCAAGUGAUGUUGGCAGUACAAACACAGACACACAAACAUAUACACACAAACAUAUACACACACAUACAUAUAUAUAUAUAUACAUAUAUAUGACGGGCUUCUUUCAGUUUCCGUCUACCAAAUCCACUCACAAGGCUUUGGUUGGCCCGAGGCUAUAGUAGAAGACUCUUGCCCAAGGUACCAUGCAGUGGGACUGAACCCGGAACCAUGUGGUUGGUAAGGAAGCUACUUACCACACAGCCACUCCUGCACCACUCCUGCAAAUGUAGAAGAUAUGUAAUCUUUUAACACCCUAACUAUUAUAUAUUGAUAAGUAAUAGGAGGCAAAGUAGAACUCAUAUGUUUUAUUCUUAAAAUACACUUUAUUUUCCACUUGUAUAAGAAUAGGAGAAGUGUCUAUGUAGAUUUGUGCACAUUGUGUUUGUGUAGUGAGGGGAUGUUGGUGUAUGUAUACAUACAUGCACACACACAUAUACGUAAAUUAUGUUGGAAAAGAGACAUAUUAUUUAUGCAUGUAAGGACAGUCUGAAGGAUAAUUAUGGACAUGUUUUGAUCUGUUAAACCUCAUCAGCAUAAUAUUGAUCUCGGCUUGCCUGUAGAUCAGAAAUUACAGUUUUACUUCCAGAAUAAAGAAUUGGGAUUUUCAUUUGACAAGAAGGAUUUGCAUAAAUAACAAUAGAAAAUAACAAAACAAAUAACACGAGUAAUACUAAUAACAAGAACUUUGAUAAUUAAAAGGUGAUGUAUUGACUGCUAUACACUCAUCAUCAUCAUUGUUUGACCGUGGUCGAGACAAUGGAAUUUACCAUGCUACGCCGGACUUCACAGUCCAUCAUAGCAUUACGGAGGUCCUGUUGCUGGAUGCCUGUAUCCCUGGAGAUUACACCAGGGUAGGAGAGUGUGCACCCUUUGGAAUCGCGAGUAGAUGGCUUCCAGAGGAGAAGAGUAGAAAUUGCCUCGUUUUCAGCUCUACAACAAUGUCCAGCAAACUGGACUCUUCUACCUUUCACAAGAGAUGACACAGGUGGUAGUUUCCCCAUAUAUUUGCAUUUUGGUUGGAUAUAAUAUACAGUAUCUUUCCAUCCAUUUUCUCUGACCACUAUUCAUGAAGGUAGAGUAUCUCCUCCUUAGCAUUCUGUCAGAAGCAUCUGUCAUUAGACUUUGUAGCUGGAUUCCCAAGCAUUACCAACUGAGACAAUGGAUAUUAUCCAACCAUCCCUUUCUUGAUCUACCCCUUGGUCUCCUGUUGCCUGGCUUGGCUUGAAGACUCUGUCUUGUGAUUCUUUUAUGUGACAUUCUUAAUCAUUUGUCCAUAUUACUGGAACUGUAUCCUCUUGAUGUGUAGAAGUAAUGGCUCAAUCAGGAGAGUUCCUUAAUCUUUCAGUUAUGCCCCUUUUUGAGUAACAUCACUUCAUAGAGCCUUUUGAAGGACCCCAUUUCAGUUGUUUGGAUUCAUGAUUGUAUUCUUUUGGUGGUUUGCCCAACAUUCACGACCAUAGGUGAAGAUAGUUAUGAAAAUUGAAUUGUAGAGGAGAGGUUGGUAUACAAAAUAUGUUCAUAGUUUUUUCAAAGCAUUUCUUUCUGCAGUGAAUUAACUAUCAUUAAAGCUGCAGAAUUUUUAUUUUUUUAUUCUUUUAUUUCUAUAUUGCCCACAAGGGGCUAAACACAGAGAGGACAAACAAGGACAGACAAAGAGAUUAAGUCGAUUACAUCGACCCCAGUGCGUAACUGGUACUUAAUUUAUCGAUCCCGAAAGGAUGAAAGGCAAAGUUGACCUUGGCAGAAUUUGAACUCAGAACAUAACGGCAGACGAAAUACCUCUAAGCAUUUCGCCCUGCAUGCUAAUGUUUCUGCCAGCUCGCCGCCUUUUAAAGCUGCAGAUUAAAUUCUGCAAAAGAGUGUGAGUUAAUGGUUUGGGUAUUUGACUCAUGAUUGUAAGAACUUGAGUUUGACUCUUGAGAGUGUGUUGUGUCCUUGAGCAAGACACUUUAUUUCACGUUGCUCCAGUCCACUCAGCUGGCAAAAAUGAGUAGUACCUGUAUUUCAAAAGGCCAGCCUUGUCACAUUCUGUGUCAUGCUGAAUCUCUCUGAGAACUACGUUAAGGGCACAUGUGUCUGUGGAGUACUCAGCCACUUCUAUUGAUUGGAUCAAUUGGAGUCCUUGUCAUUGUUAAUGCCAUGUGGAUACUUGUUCUGACUCUCUGCGCCCUGGUUUCAAAUCCAGCCAAAGUUAACUUUGCUUCACAUCCAUUUAAGGUUAAUAAGUAAAUAUUCUAGGGUGGUAAAUUUCAGAAGUGUUAGGACAUCAGAUGAAAUCCCCUCACCUUGCAACCUCAUGUUCUUGUUUUUGUUUUUUGAAAUAGGUACACUGGUUAUAAGAGGUAAGCAAUAGGCAUCAGGAAUGACAUCUAUCCAUAAAACACUGCCUUGAAAUGUCUCAUCCAAUGUAUGCAAAUAUGGAAAUUGAAUGUAAAAAUGACGAUGCUGAUCUAUAUUUAUGUCUCUGUGUAUACACACACACACACACACAUACCAUCAUCAUCAUCAUUGAUGUCUACAGAUCUUUUCUCUCUCUCUCUCUCUUUCUCUCUCUCUCUCUCUUUCUCUCUCUCUCUCUCUCUCUCUUUCUCUCUCUCUCUCUCUCUCUCUCUCUCUCUGUAUGUAUAUACAUGCACAUAUGUGUGAGUGGCUUUGUAGUAAGUAGCUUGCUUACCAACCACAGGGUUCCUGGUUCAUUCCCAUUGUGUGGCACCUUGGGGUAGUGUCUUCUAUAGCCUCAGGCUGACCGAUGCCUUGUGAGUGGAUUUGGUGGUUGGAAACUGAAAGAAGCCUAUCGUAUAUAUAUAUGUAUGUAUGUAUGUAUGGACAGACAGACGGAUGGACAGACGGAUGGGUGGGCGGGCAGGCGGGUGGGCCAAAGCAGCACUGGGAGUUGUGCUAACCAUUGAGUAACUUCAUACUAUCCAAAAUUCCUGAACUUGAGUCUCAUCACCGGAUGCAGUUCAUUGUCCUGUCCAGGAUGCAUACUUCUAUAUACCACAUUAUAUAUAUGUGUGUGUAUCGAAAUACAUAUAUAUGUAUAUAUGUUUCUAUUUCUCCCCACCUUUCUAGCUCCCUGCCUGCCUGUCUCCAUCUGCACACAUCUAUGUUAUCUAAUUCGCACAGAAAUGGCCGGAAAUAUUUCUAAUCGUCAGCUCUUGUUGAAAGCGCAUUUGACAUUUUUCAUCUUUCAAUCAUUUAAAUUGAAUGUAAAAAACACACAAAAAAAAGGCAAUAAAAACAGCAUUAAAAUGUUAGAAUAUAAAAACUUUAAAAAAAAGAAUGAGAAGCAGUAGUGUCGAAUGAUCCUUGUCAGUAAUGACAAUAACCUUUAUAGCUUGUUCAAUGUCCAAUUAGUGGUAGAAAUACUAAAGAAAGGAUUGUAUUUAACUGAGUACAAACGUGUUGGCUGUGACACCAGCAGUUGUAUUGUUUAGCCCUUGGUAAGUUCUAAUACAAGCAAGUCCAUGAUCAAAGAUGUUCCAGUUGUGAUCAUCUUGUCUUUUAAAAAGAUAAUAAGAAACUUGCCCACUAUUUUUAACAUGUUGAGUGACCACAUCAAGGCUUCCGUACUUGCAGACUGUGGCAUUUGUAUUCUAUUUGAUUUUAUUUUUAUUAUUUCAUUGGAUAGAGUCUCUGGACUGUGGCCAUGCUGGGACUCCACUUUCAAGGGGUUUAAGUAAAUUGUAUUGAUUUUAUUACUUCAUUUGGUGUUUAUUUUAUUGACAUUGGAAAGUGGGACAAAGUGAACUGGGACAUAAGGGGAUGCAACUAGCUUGGAACAAAAUGUCUAAAGGUGCAUUUGUUUGAUACAUCCACACUGAUUCUGCUACCUCCCACACAUGUGUGUGUAUUUGCUGUUUAGGAGAGUUAAUGAUAUCCACAUUCAUUACAUGGUAUCAUAGAUAAUCCGCUUGAAUGUCUAUGAAACAUUGAGGUAAUGACUGUUAAUAACUGCUAUACAACAAUUAUAUUCUCUACAUGACAUACCAAGUGCUCUUUUCUUUGUUUAUACAUCUGGGUCCUUGAUUCAUAAUUCCAUACACACCCAAUGAGCUUCCUCACUAUUCUAAUGACCAAAUUUCACUCAGGAGGUUUGGAGUAUAAUACAAAAAAGAUGCUCACUUAAAAAACUGUGCAGUGCAAUCAACCCCGGAACCAUUCCAUUGUGAAGAUAAUUUAUAUUUACAUGGCCAUGCUAGAUAGGGGAGAAGGAUUAGUAACCUUGACUUCUGCAGUCCUCCUUGACUGGGGAAACAUGUGCUGGAUAGAACUGGAUGCUCACAACAGAAUGAGCCAUUGUAAAAGCACCCAAUAUCCAGUUGGUGGUGUUAAACUAGUAGUUACAUUGUUUAAGGCGGACAUAUAAUGUUUAUUGGUCAUUACUUACUUUUGUUAAAGUCGUUGAAUACUAAGAUUAUUUAGAGCAUUGGUUAGACCACAUUGCUAUAUUAGUUCUGACUGUGGAUUCUAAGUUCAAAUCUCACCAAGGUCAAGUUUAUCUUUUAUCCCAUUGGGGUUUGCAAAGUAUCAUCUCAGUUCUGGUGUAGCCAUCUUUCUCUCCUUCCAGCUUUCACAUCCUGGAUAUUCUGCUUGGUCAAAGUGGGUGGGUCAUGGCAGUGUCUGUAUCUGCUCAUGACUUCAGGGCCACCAUAUACAAGGGUAUGUAGUGAAGGUAUGGUAUAUACUAAUACUAAAUCAUUCUCAGUAGCCAGUGAUGGUUGUGGUUUGUUGGCUUUUGCGUCUGUCAGUCAGUCAGUUUUACCUAAUAUGGAGAAUAGGAAGCAGGUGUUUCAAGAAAGUUACCUGUGACAGAUUAGCUUUCUAGCAACUAUGAGAAUAUAUAUCUCACCUACAAAAAUCAAAAUCUAACCAUCAACUCUGUUCGUUAUGAAUGCAUUACUGUUUUACAAGCUUAUGUUUGUGUGUUGUUGCUUUUGUUGUUGAUUAGCUCUGAGGUCAGUCCUGAUCCAGCAAACACACACACACCAACACACGCUCACCAACAUACACCAACACACAUGCACAUCAACACACACAGAUACAUCACACACACACACACACACACACACACACACACACACCAACACACACAAACCAACACACACACACCAACAAACACACACAUGCACCAACACACAUGCAGAGGCUAUAGUAGAAGACCCUUGCUCAAAGUGCUGUGCAUUAGGACUGAACCCAAAAUCACAUAGUUCAAUGUGAGCUUCUUAACCACACAGCUAUGCCUGUGCCUGUAGACAUUUACCCAAGGUGUGGUGUUGUAGGACUGAACCCAAAAUCACAUAGUUCAAUGUGAGCUUCUUAACCCCACAGCUAUGCCUGUGCCUGUAGACAUUUACCCAAGGUGUAGUGUUGUAGGACUGAACCCUAAACUGCAUGAUUAGGAAGUGAACUCUCACACUCAUGUCUCCAGCGAUAAUUCUCUUUUUCAAUGAUGUGCCUAUGUAAUAGUAAUGAACCUGAGAAAAUUCCAGGCUGGCUCGCUCUCCCGUUGGCCUGCUCUCCAUUUGAACUUGCUCUCCAUUUGGCCUGCUCUCCAGCUGACCUUCUCUCCAUUUGGCUUGCUCUCCAUUUGGCUUUUAGCUCUUUUGUCUUUUGCCUAUUUCAGUCGUUAUAUGUAGUCAUGCUGGAGCACGGCCUUGAAGACUUUUUAGUUGAAUGAAUUGAACCCAAUAAUUUUUUCUUCUUUUGAAGCCUGGUAUAUAUUCUAUCAGUUUCUUUUGCCAAACUGUUAAGUUGUGGUGAUGUAAACAUGCCAACACUAGCUAUCAAGCUGUGGUGGGGGACAAACACACACACACACACAUACACACAACACACACACACACACACACACACACACACACAUACACACACACACAUUCACAUUUAUAUACAAUUGGCUUCUCUCAGUUCCUGUCUACCAAAUUAACACGUGAUACCAAAUCCACUUGCUUUGGUCAGCCUGAAGCUAUAAUAGAAGACACUUGACCAAGGUGCCAUGCAGUGGGACUGAAUCCAGAACCAUGUGGUUGGAAAACAAGCCUCUUAUCACACAGCCACACUGACAUACUACAAAGAUAUCUGGGGAUGCUGUGGGUCUUUUAAAAGAAAUUGUUUUUAGAAAAUCCAUAUUAAUUGCUGAACAUUUUGAAAAAUGUGUUAAUCAUAAUUUUCAUAUAGAAAGUAUGAUUAAUAACACAAACAAUUUUCUGUGUUAUUUUUCUAAAUUUCUAACUUCAGAACUGUGUUUUUUUAACUUUCCAUUUCAAGUGCACAAGUAAUAUUUUUGCUUGGUCUUCAAAUACAAGAAAAUUUUGUUCUUAUUUUUCUUAUAUUUGAUCUCCAGCGCACCAAAAACUCAAAGAGACUGAAAACCACUGCUUUGUUGCACUUUAGGCAAGUGUCUUCUACUAUAAGCCCAUGACUGACUAAUGUCUUGUUAGUGAAUUUGGUAGGCAGAAACUAUGAGGAAGCCCAUUGUGUGUGAGUUUGUAUUAUGUUUGUCCUUACCACCACUUGACAACUGCUGUUGCUUUGUUUAUGUCCCUAUAACUCAGCAAUUUGGCAAAAGAGACCAACAAACUAAGAGCUAGACUUAAAAAAUAAGUGCUGAAGUUGAUCUGUUGGACUAAAGCAUUUGAGGUGGUGCUCCAACAUGGCCACAGUCCAGUAACUGAAACAAAUAAAAGACAAUGAAAUAAAUAAAUAAAUAAAUCAUCAUUGACAUAAUUUUACAUCUGCUUACCAUGCUUGCAUGGGUUGGAUGGUUGGACACAAUCUGAAAUGUUAGAGAAUCACAUUUUGUUCAAACAUCUGGUUUGGUUUGGUUUGUGUUUUAAGGAUCGAUACCCUCUCCAACACCAACCACUUUACAGAGAGCCUUAGGUACAUUUUUUAGGACACUAACUCCAAAAGAAUGCCUCAGCCCUUUGCAUAACUACAGAAUCCACUCAACCCUGUGCUGUCUCUACUUGAUUUGCCAACCACUUUACAUGUACAGUGAGUGCUUAGUUUUUUGUGGUCCCAGCAAAAGUGCGGUUGCUCUGUAACAACCUUUUAGCAUUUAAACCAGAUAUAUCUGACCCAAAUAUUCUACCUGUUUUACAAACUAACCAUAUCUGGCCUCUCACACCUGCCCUAAAAGUAAACAAUCACAUUGUCAAAAUCUUGAAGCUAUGAGGAAAUGAUUAAUUAAUUAAAAGCAAUGUGAUUAAAUAAGUAUUACAUUUGAAUUAUCUGAAUGCUAAAAGUCUAAAGACUAAAAAUUCCCUACAUAUGAAAAUGAGAAAAGCUGAGAGAGUGGUGACUUAAAGCUAGGUGCCAAGUAAAGUUAAAGUAAGAUUAGAAGAACAGGAUUAUUAUUGUGGGAGAGUGAGGUGGAAAGAGUAACUGAGAAGGCAUUACUGGGGCAAGAAAAUAAUGGAAGGGAUGGGGAAUGAAAUGAGUAUUAUCGCAAAAUAUGAGCAAAGUGAGUCUAAACACACAAACUGUAAUAUAACUGUAACUUCAAUUUGCAAUCAUUGCUGGUGCCAUGCAAAAAGUACCCAUAAAUGUAUCACAUUAAAAGCACCCGUGUUGGUACCACAUAGAAAUCACUCAUACCAGUGCCAUGUAGAAGGCACCUAAUACACUCUGUAAAGUGGUUGGCAUUAGGAAGGGCAUCCAGCCAUACUGGAUGCCCUUACAAUUAGAGCCUGGAUGCCUCGACUGCUCUCCAGCUGGCCUGCUCUCCAGCUGGCCUGCUCUCCAGCUGGCCUGCUCUCCAGCUGGCCUGCUCUCCAGCUGGCUUGCUCUCCUGUUGGUCUGCUCUCCAGUUGGUCUGCUCUCCAGUUGGCCUGCUCUCCAGCUGACCUGCUCUCCAGCUGGCCUGCUCUCCAGUUGGCCUGCUCUCCAGUUGGCCUGCUCUCGCUCUCCAGUUGGCCUGAUCUCCAGCAGGCCUGGUCUCAAGCUGGCUUGCUCUCCAGUUGGUCCUGCUCUCCAACUGGCCUGCUCUCCAGCUGGCCUGCUCUCCAGCUGGCCUGCUCUCCAACUGGACUGCUCUCCAACUGGCCUGCUCUCCAGUUGGCCUGCUCUCUAACUAGCCUGUUCGCCAGUUGGCCUGCUCUCCAACUGGCAUGCUCUCCAGUUGGCCUGCUCUCCAACUGGCCUGCUCUCCAACUGACCUGCUCUCGAACUGGCAUGCUCUCCAGCUGGCUUACUCUCCAUUUGGCUUGCUCUCCAGCUGGUCUGCUCUCCAGUUGGCCUGCUCACCACUUGGCCUGCUCUCCAUUUGGCUUGCUCUCCAUUUCGCUUGAUCACCAGCUGACCUGCUCUCCAGUUGGCCUGUCUCAUUUUGGCCUGCUCGCAAUUUCGCUUGCUCUCCAGCUGCUCUGCUCUCCAUUUGGCUUAUUCACCAGCUGGACUGCUCUCCCGUUGGUCUACUCUCCAUUCGGCCUGCUCUCCAUUUGGCCUGCUCUCCAGCUGGCCUGCUCUCCAUUUGGGUUGCUCUCCAUUCGCUUGCUCUCCAUUCGCUUGCUCUCCAUUCGCUUGCUCUACAGCUGGUCUGCUCUCCCUUUGGCUUGUUCACUAGCUGGGCUGCUCUCCCGUUGGCCUGCUCUCCAUUUGGCUUGCUCUCCAGUUAGUCUGGUCUCCAAGCUGGCCUUCUCUACAGAUGGCCUUCUCUCCAGCUGGCUUGCUCUCCAGUUGCACUGCUCUCCAGCUAGCUUGCUCUCUAGCUGGCUUGCUCUCCAGCUGGCCUGCUCUCCAUUUGGCUGGCUCCCCAUUUGGCCUGCUCUCCAUUUGGCUUGCUCUCUAUCUGGCUUGCUCUCCAGCUGGCCUGCUCUCGAUUUGGCUUGCUCUCCAGCUGGCCGUCUCUCCCGUUAGCCUGCUCUCCAUUUGGCCUGCUCUCCAGCUUCAGCUGGCCCUCUCUCUGGCUGGCCCUCUCUCCGGCUGGCCUGCUCUCCAGCUGGCCUUCUCUCCAGCUGACCUGCACUCCAGUUAGCCUGCUCUCCAGCUGGCCUUCUCUCCAGCUGACCUGCUCCUGUCAAACCGUCCAAGUCAUGCCAAUUUGGAAAAUGGAUAUUAAAUGCUGAUGAUGAUGAUUUGGUCAAUUGGUAGUAAAAUUCAUCGGAAACAACCAAAUGUUGCAGUGUUAACAACGUCACAAGGCCUGCACACCUGCUGUUGUCAAGAACUGUUACAGUUGUGAUGUAAUCUGUCUGUGGUAUGAAAAGAGGCUAUACACAGGUGUUUGCUUGACAUGUCAAACUAGAUAUUGAAUGACAGUGAACACAGAAGAAUGUUUAGAACUUAUUUAAUCUUUGGUCAAUGUAGUUCAAUCAAAUUAUUAUUUGACAUUCCAGCUUUGAACACUCAGACACUUUAGCAUAUGUAGGACUACAUUAUCUAGUGCAUUCUGCCCUUGAUGCUAGGAUUGCAAUCUAAAGGAGAUUUGGCUGCUAUUUCUAGGAGAUUAAGUAGACCUAUCAAAGACAUUCUGGCUAUAAACAACCAGACAGUUUAGCAUACACAGGAUUUAUAUAAUCUAGUGCAUUCUGUCUUUGUGUAAGAUUAUAUGAUGCGAUCUAAGGGAAAUUUGGCUGCUGUUUCUAACAGGUCAAUCUGAUACAUAGUGGCUUCUAUAUUUUUGUAUGGCUAUAUAUUGCCUAAGUUAUUGUGUUAUUACAUAAGUCCUCUGUGUAUAUGAUUAAUAAGAGAAAGUUAGCAAUAUUUCAUAUAUAUAUAUAUAUAUAUAUAUGUAUAUAUACAUAUAUAUAUAUAUAUGUGCGACUUUCCAUAGGAAGUGCUCUGGUAAUUUUUUUGCUUGAUCUCCUGUGUGUUGUAAAGUCAAAGAGAUUAAGAUUCAGAUGCAAUAUUAGAUUUUUCUUUAUCAGAAUUUAAUGAAGCUGGUGGUCUUGUUGAACGUAGAGACCAAUAGCAAAAGUGAAUUGGCCAUUGUUCAGUUUGCAAUAUCUUUUAUAUUGCAGAUUACUCCAUACAGAAAUAGAAAUGUGUGGAUAUAUGUACAUAUACUGUAUGCAUGCAUGUGUGUGUGUGUGUGUGUGUGUGUGUAAUGUGUGUAUUAUUUCAAAUCUUUUGUAUAAAAUUCUAGAACCAAGGAGUUCCUCAUAUAGGUGCAGGUAUGGCUGUGUGGUAAAAAGCUUGCUUCUCAGUCAUAUGGUUUCAGGUUCAGUCCCACUGCAUGAUACUUUGGGCAAGUGUCUUCUACUAUAGCACCAGGCUGACCAAAGUCUUGUGAGUAGAUUUGGUAGAUGAAAACUGAAAGAAGCUUGUAGUGUGUGUGUGCCCAUGUGCACAUGUGCGUCUGCAUCUGUCCUCCUCCCCACUGUUUGACAACCAAUGUUGGUGUGUUUACAUCCCCGUAACCUAGCAGUUCAGUAAAAUGAUUAAUAGAAUAAGUAUUAGGCUUUUAAAAAAAAAUCCCAGUGUAGAUUUGUUUAACUAAAACCCUUCAAGGGGGUAUCCCAGCAUGGCCACUGUCAAAUGACUGAAAAUAUGAAAAAAAAUAAAUAAAUAAAAAAUAAAACUAAGGAGUUCCUCAAAUUUUAAUACUUGAACCACAAGGUUCUUUUAUUCAACAUUCAUGGAAUAGCUGUAUACGCAAAAGAAGGGCUGGUGGUCAUGAUCUGGGUUCUUAUUUUUGGGUGUUACUCUGCAUUUCCGUAUGAAUUUAUGUGUGUCUGUUUAUAUUAUAUUACUACAUCUGAUAUGUGUAUUUGUGUAUUAUACCAAUCUCUUAAAUAGAUAAAAGCUAAGUGUUGGUGCUAGUAUUGGUGGUGCCGGUGUUCUAUAUACAGUUGGUUUGAAUCAAUCUUCCAAUAUUACAACUUCUAAAUUUAUCAAUCCUGGAGGGAUUUCAAUAUGGAACAGAAGGGGGACAAAAUUAAAUACAAUACUGUAAAACACUUAGUUCUUGAAUGUACUAUUCCUACUUACUAGCUUAAUCUUCAUAUGUUAUUCUCAGUUCCCUGAGGGUACUCUAGUACCCUUGAGAAUGUCUCAAAAAUUACUACGUCUCAUAUAUCUAUCCUUCUAAAUAGCUUAACCUUCAUGCUUUUGCAGAAAAGAAAGAAAAUCUUUCAUGUUCUCUUUCUAUCUGUGUGUCUAUCUGUCUCCAUGUGUCUGUCUGUCUCUCUUUUCUAUGUUUAUAUAUGUUUACCUAUCUAUCUGUCUGUCUGUCCGUCUGUCUAUUCUGUCUGCCUGCCUGCCUGCCACUCUCUCUGUAUGUGUAUAACAUAUCUAUUAUAUAAAAUCCGUUCUGUCUGUCUGUCUGUCUGUGUGUCUUCUAGGAUCUCAGGCAUCCUCCAUCCAAUUGAGCUCAAAUUUUAUAUGUAGAUACUGAUGGUAUCAAGGCAUGUAUAAGUCUUGAAAAAAUUACAAAAAUUGAUUCCAGGUGAGAAUGUGAUUGAUAAAGCCGUGGGAACAUGCAUUUGUAAAAUCGUUUUUCUUGGAAUUGAAAAAAAGUCUAUCUUUAUUUCUUCUUUUGCUGGUGUCUCAAAUAUUAGGUUAAAUCAGUGUUUCUCAAAGGGGGGGGCCUAUGGGAAGGUUGGACAAGUUGUUUUGAGAAAAUUUGGUUUAAAUGUUUGACAACUCAGCACCAUCCAUUGGACGGGGUGGGGGGCGUUUUGCUCAUAUAUAUAUAUAUUUAUAUAUAUGGUUACUGUAUGGUUAAGAUGUUCACCCCUCAACUGAAUUCAUUCAUUCCCACUAGAGUGUUCCUUGGACAGGCGUGUUCUACUGUAUCAUCAGGUUGCCCGGUGUGUUGCGAGUGAAUCCGGCUGAUGGAGAUUGUAAGUCUUUGCAUGUGUGUGUGUGGGGUGGGUGGGUGCAAAACUAUGUGAACAUUCACAUUUUACUUGAAGAAGUUCUAAGCUACAAAUGGUGAUGUUUGAUGUUAUUUCCUCUGUCAACAAAUUAUCCAUUAGGUUUGCACUUUUGAAGAUGUGUAGAAUAAGCAAAUUUCAUCAGGUAGGGAAAUCUUCUCUCUUUGAAGUGUUUUGGCAUCUAUUGAGUGGUAAAUUAGCUUUGUUUUUGUUUUCUUUCCUUAAUUUUUUAGAUUGAGCAGAUAAUAUGAUGUUUCUAUAUGAAGUAGAAGCAACAUGAUUUUGAUCCAUCCUUAAAUGUCUUAUCCAACAUUGCCUAUGGAAUAAUAGCAGUCUUUCCUUUUUAUCUCUCUGUUUCCAAAUGUGCUUUGAAAAUGCUGUAUUCAAAGUGAUAAUAAUAAAGUGAGCUGUUGUGCUGGUGCAGGUUAUUUAUGAAGUACUUUGUAAGCUCUAUUUAUAGCUUGUUAAUGCCACUCCUUUAGCUGGCCCUUUUUAAAUCUCAGGUACAGCCCAUCUGAUAAGUUUCCAAAUAUUGUCUGUCUACCAAAAUUUCUCUCACAAGGCUUAGUGUGGCCCAAAGCUAUGAUAAAACAUGCAGUAGAAUUGAGCCCAGAAUCUCAUGAUUUUGAAACAAACUUUUCAAGAUUUUAACCAAACUGAGUUUCUUGCAUAUCCACAUACGCACUCAUUUACCCCCCCCCCACACACACACACUUAAACAACAGCUGUAAUUAUUAUAACUUUCCAUCUGCAAAGCAUUUAUCAUUUAAUUUGCCUUCUUUCCCUCCUUACAUUCUACUAGUGCUAACCAUCUGCUAACCUUACCUAACUAUAAUUGUUAGCACCAAACACGGAGGAGCUUUUGAUCUCUCAUUAAUUACCUGAGAUGAGAUUCUUUUAUUCUUUUAUUCUUUUACUUGUUUCAGUCAUUUGACUGCGGCCAUGCUGGAGCACCGCCUUUAAUCGAGCAAAUCGACCCCGGGACUUAUUCUUUUGUAAGCCCAGUACUUAUUCUAUCGGUCUCUUUUGCCGAACCACUAAGUAACGGGGACAUAAACACACUAGCAUCAGUUGUCAAGCAAUGCUAGGGGGACAAACAGAGACACACAAACACAGACACGCAUAUAUAUAUAUACAUAUAUACGACGGGCUUCUUUCAGUUUCCGUCUACCAAAUCCACUCACAAGGCUUUGGUCGGCCCGAGGCUAUAGUAGAAGACACUUGCCCAAGGUGCCACGCAGUGGGACUGAACCCGGAACCAUGUGGCUGGUAAACAAGCUACUUACCACACAGCCACUCCUGCGCCUAUGAUAUAUAAAAAAAAACCCCAUUUCUGCAUUAAUACUUGAUCUUGUCCUAACGUAACCACAUAAAACUCUCUUAAAGCAAUAAAGGGGAUCUCUACACAACCACUGAAUCGAUGAAAAUUAGCUGCAAAAUCACCAUCAGAUCAUUUCUGUCUUUCUCUCCUCUACUUUUGCUGCUGUAUUUAAAAUUAUCAUCUCUGCAAACAUUACCAUAAACAAUGCUCUCAAUAGGCACAGGCGAGACUGUGUGAUAAGAAGCUUGCUCAGGUUCAGGAGUUCAAUCCCACUGCAUGGCAUCUUGAGCAAAUGUCUUCUAUUAUUGCUUCAGGCGAACCAAAGCCUUGUGUGUGGAUUUGGUAGAUAAAACUGAAAGAAGCCUAUCAAAUAUAUCAUCAUCAUCAUCAUCAUCAUCAUCAUCAUUUAGCGUCCGCUUUCCAUGCUAGCAUGGGUUGGACGGUUCAACUGGGGUCUGUGAAGCUGGAAGGCUUCGUCAGGCCCAGUCAGAUCUGGCAGUGUUUCUACGGCUGGAUGCCCUUCCUAACGCCAACCACUCCGUGAGUGUAGUGGGUGCUUUUUACAUGCCACCUGUAUAUAUAUAUAUACACACACUCUGUGCAUGUGUGUCUUUGUUUGUUCCCCAGUCACUGCUUGACAAUUGAUGUUGGUGUGUUUACGUCCCUGUAACUUAGCGCUUCAGCAAAAGAGACCAACAGAAUAAGUACCUGGCUUUAAAAGAAAAACUAAGUUCUCAGGUUGACUAAAAGUUUUUCAAAGUAGUGCCCCAAUAUGGCUGCAGUCUAAUGACUGAAACAAAUCAUCGAUAAAAGGUACCAACGGAAAUCCUUUGAAUUUUCAUUUCCUUCUUAUAGCUUGGCUCCAAAAACAGUUCUUAACCUCAUCACCAAAACCACCAGAGCUAUUUCAACCUGAAGUUAUCACUGCAAUCACUUCUAGCAUUCUUAAGAAUACAAUCAGAAAGUAUUGCUAACAUCAACAUUUUUUUUAGUACCAUCAACAUCUGGUUUAUUUCCCCAUCUCCACAAAUUCUCUCAUUUCCACUGCCAUUACCGCCACCAUCUUCAUCAUCAUCAUCAUCAUCUCUAUGACAACAAAUAUUCCACAAUAUCAUCUGCUACUUUGCCCGCCCCCUUUUCAAUAACAAAAUCCCAGCAACAGUCUAUCAACAUGGCCACACCCGUCAGAAUUUGAUAAGCCUGGAUUAACUAUUAGGGAUUUUUCUCUAAGGGAAAUCAACAAUCAUUAUCAUCAUCAUCAUCAUAAUACUACUGUCGCCAUUGUCAUCAUCAUCAUCACAAUCAUAUCAUCACCACCACUACUUCCUUAUCACUGUCACCAUCAUCACUACCACCACCAUCCUCCUCAUCACUGUUGCCACCAUCAUAUUCACUCCCAUCAUCAUCAUCAGCAGCAGCAGCAGCAACAGGUAGUAGUAGUAGUAGUAGUAGUAACACUUUCAUUAACCUGAUACUCUCACAGGGAGGAGAAAAAAUGUCUUGUCUCAUUUCCGCAUUGACUAAAUUGUGAGUGUUCUGAUACAUGAAAUUAUGCGAAGAGACUCGUUGUUUCACUGGGAGAGUUGUGUUUGUUAAGGGACUGAACUAUUCAAUUCAUUGGUACUGAGUAACGUCAUCGCUCCUAAAGAUUUGUUGUCACAACCUGGUGACUUUGGUUUUGCUAUUUCACAAUUCCAUGGAUUUAGAAAACUGGAUUUGUUGUCACAAAUUUUCAAGUCUUCCAAAUAUCAAAUGGCAUCAGAUGACAAGCAAACAGAAGCAUUUCACAAAUAUGAAAAUAUAUUUAUUUAAAUUCUAUUUGCCCUGGCAGGCUAUGUCUGUCUGUCUGUCUCUCUCUCUGUCUAUCUCUGUCUCCCUCUGUCUCUGUCUGUCUGUCUAUCUGUCUGUCUGUCUAUCUGUCUAUCUGUCUAUCUGUCUGUCUGUCUGUCUGUCUGUCUGUCUGUCUAUCUAUCUGUCUCUGUCUCUGUCUCUGUCUGUCUAUCUGUCUGUCUCUGUCUGUCUGUCUGUCUGUCUGUCUGUCUCUGUCUGUCUGUCUGUAUGUCUGUCUGUCUGUCUGUCUGUCUCUGUCUGUUUGUCUGUCUGUCUCUCUCUCUCUCUCUCUCUCUCUCUCUCUCUCUCUCAUAGCUGAACCCUUCUAAUCAUUGUGGUUUUCCCAAUUUAGUUUUACAGAUUAGAGGGAGAGCUAGUUUAGUUUAUUGCAUCAAGCUCCAUGCUGUUCUGUCACAGACUUUGGAGUGUAAGUCUUGCAUAGAGCUCAACAUAACGUAUUCUUUUUUUAAAAGCUUCCAAUGUUUAUUCUAACAAAUAUAGACUGGAUUAGUUGCUUUACUUAAAUCUUCUAUUUCGAGAAAUGUGUCCUAUAUUUCUACAUUAUGGAAGUUGGUUUAUUUUCUGGUUCUGAAUAUUUGUGUAGUCAAUGAAAAAUUUGUCUCUUCCCUUUUUAAUUCACUCCCUGUUGAAGAUUAUAGAUAUUCUUUAUAGCUACAUUUUCCUUCUAAACUUGAAUAUUUGAUUUUUUUUUUCUUUACUGACCUAGUCAAACUCAUGAAGAAUCUGACCUUCAUGCUUGCAACAGAUUGGACUCUGCUAAAGUCAUCCAAUGCCUAGCUGGUGGUAUUAAACUGGUUGACAGAUUACUUGCCUACCAUCUGAGAACAUCAACAAUACUUCUAGUAGAUUCUCAUGCAAUUUCUGUCUAUUAAAUUUAUUAGUGAAGGUGCAUGGCUUAGUGGUUAGGGUGUUGGACCCAUGAUUGUAAGAUUGUGGUUUUGAUCCCUGGACUGGGUAACAUGUUGUGUUCUUGAACAAAACACUUUAUUUCAUGUUGCUCCAGACCACUCAGCUGGUAAAAAUUAGUAAUCCUGCAAUGGAUUGUUGUUCUGUCCAGGGAGUAUAUAUAUAUAUAUAUAUAUAUAUAUAUAUAUAUAUAUAUAUAUAUAUAUAAUAAUAAAUAUUAGGGAAUAAAUCCAAAUUUACAGGGAAAAAAAUCAGAUUUAGGAUUAAAUCCAAUUUUAUAGUAAAAUAUUAUAAAAUAUUAUUAGAGACAAAACCACUAUUUUGCAAAACAAACAAGGAAAGACUUAAUCAAUACAUAAAAUUUUAAUAAAUAGUCAAAAAAACCGCCACUACAAUUGUUUCUUGUCUUGAUCGACAAUCUUCAGGUGGACUUCCAAUAAGUCCACCUGAAGAUUGUCGAUCAAGACAAGAAACAAUUGUAGUGGCGGUUUUUUUGACUAUUUAUUAAAAUUUUAUGUAUUGAUUAAGUCUUUCCUUGUUUGUUUUGCAAAAUAGUGGUUUUGUCUCUAAUAAUAUUUUAUAUAUAUAUAUAUAUAUAUAUUUAAAAAAGGAGAUGUGGAACACGAGUUGUGAUAUAUAAAAAAAGGAAAUGAAGAAAAUGCUGACAAAAUAAUUUAGAAUUUAAGUAAUUUAAUUAGGUGAAGUUCUUUGACUAUAGUUUCAAGGUAAUUGCCUCUGUCAACGCAUGGUAAACACCGGUGUUUACCAUGCGUUGACGAGAGGCAAUUACCUUGAAACUAUAGUCAAAAGAACUUCACCUAAUUAAAUUACUUAAAUUACUUAAAUUAUUUUGUCAGCAUUUUCUUCAUUUCCUUUAUAUAUAUAUAUAUAUAUAUAUAUAUAUAUAUAUAUAUAUAUAUAUAUAUAAUAUACACAUCAGAGCAACUGGGAAACUAACCCUAUGAUUCUCACAGGAAUGUGGACUAACCAAAUCAGUUUUUACUCACAAGGUUGACCUGAGAUUGUGUUAAAAAAUAUUUGCUUAAACACUCCAACAAAAGUUGUCUACCAUUUUGGAGUACUAGUGUCCCACACUGUUAGGGAAAUUUGGCUUUUUUUAGUAGGUCAAAUAACUAUGUAGAUGCACCUUCAUUGGUUCUUAGUAAUUGCAGUUGCUGUUAUUGGCGUAAAAUAUCUAAGAUUUCUUGGAGCUUACCACAAAGGAGUUGCAACUCAAAACGGAAUUGAAAUAGAGUAUUUUUUCUUUUGUUAGUUUCUCUAAAGUUUGUUAUGAAUUCCUUAUAUCAUAAUAUCACUAGUACUUAAGUUUUGUGUUGCCUAGACUCUGAUAUCUAACUAGGUUUUCAUAAGUCUUGAAAAGAAAACCUUCAGUUAUCCAACUCAAAUAUUCCAUCAAUGAGUUAUUAAAAAAAAAAAAUACAUAUAUUUUUAAAAGCUCACUGGUUAAUUUUUUAAAACAAUCACUGGCUAAUUACAACACCAAUACCAGUUCUGGCACUUUUUCAAUAUAUCACUGGUGGGGAGAUGAGUUGCUGCUAUCUCUAGCAGUCAAGCGUCCACCAUUGUCAAGACCAAGGAAGGUUGAAAUCAUGUGAUCUGGUGCUCUUAGUGGUGGAGAUCAUGAGGAUUUAUCUCCACGCUAGUGAUAUAAACAGGAGUGCAUUUUGCACCAAAAGCCAAUAUGAGAGUUUCUCUCAGGGUAUCAACCGCAGUAUAGUUUGUUCCAACAGAACAUCCUUGUUUAAGUGAAAAUAUUUCCUCACUGAGCUAUUAAUCUCUUGUUUCCCCCCACUUCCCCUAAAUGAUAUUGUGAUAUUUUGUUAAAAGUACAGAACUACAAUUGUCCAUGUUUAUUUCAAUCGAAAAAGAUAGUUACCAAUGACACUAAGUAAUUUAAGAAAUGUCAUGAAGUUUCCAUAGAAACCAAGUUAUGAUUUAAAAGUUAAUUAGUCACUCAUCUACCCUUACUUUUGUAGAUCAUGCAUUGAGGAGCUAGUUCAGCUUUUCUGAAACAACACUACUAUAUGUUGUAAAAUUAUUUUAUCUAAUUGCACCUUUUAACCUUUUGCACUAAUGUUACUUGUAUUAGAAAGUCAAACAACAGACGUAUUCGGUUGUCAGAUAAAUUUGUUCGUAUUUUCUUAGCUUUUCAUUUUUGUUUUCCAUUCAUUUUAAUUUUUUCUGCUGUUUUCUGAAUUCAUAAAUAAGAUAUUUUUAUUGCAGUGUUUUACAGGUUUUUAUUUAUUGGUUUUUGUAACUUGAUGUCUUUGAAACAAAUAAAUUUUACCUUUUUUAGACAUAUUUAGACGAUGAAAUGCUAAGUAGAAAGAAAAAAAUUAAUGAAUUUAUCUGACAAACCAAUAUAUUUUAAAAUAUCUAGUAUGAACAAGGUUGACAGAAAUGUUAGCAAAAUGCUUAGUGGCAUUUCGUCUGUCUUUAUGUUCUGAGUUCAAAUUCCGCUGAGGUCGAAUUUGCCUUUCAUCUUUUCGGGGUCAAUAAAUUUUUGUACUUGGGUCAAUCUAAUUGACUGGCCUCCUCCCACAAAAUUUCGAGCCUUGUGCCUCAAGUAGAAUAGAAUAUUUAGUAUGAAGAAAAGUGGGAUAGUGUGUGUGUUGGAGAAAGAGGUGGUAAUGCUUAAUUUAAACAUGUAUAUUCUUUCUUUUAUUCUUUUACUUGUUUCAGUCAUUUGACUGCGGCCAUGCUGGAGCACCGCCUUUAGUCGAGCAAAUCGAUCCCGGGACUUAUUCUUUUGUAAGCCCAGUACUUAUUCUAUCAGUCUCUUUUGCCGAACCGCUAAGUAACGUAUAGUUAACUUUCCUUGAGAUUCAACUCAUCAGCACAAUCUGGUAAUACAUUUACUACAGAUAUGAGCUUACAACCUUUGGUGUAAUUGCUCAAUGAAUUAAAUAUAUUAGCUACUGUUGUAAUUACACAAAUCUACUCUGAUCAAACAAAUUUGGAGGAGUUGUACCAACUGAAAUGUUGUGCAGUGAAUGGUAAACUUUACAUAGUUUUAUAGAAUAUUGUAUGUAGUUAAAUGACAGUGUUUUGGGUUUGUUGAAAUAGUUUAGGAAAGGUAGACUAUGUAGAAGGAGAAUAGAAUACCAAGAAUGCUCUGAGUAGAUAACCUUAAUUACUGGUGUGAUUUUUGUGGUAAGAAGUUUGAUUCCUAACUACAUGGUCCCAGGUUCAGUUCCUCUGUGUAGCACCUUGAACAAGUGUGUUCUGCUAUAGCCCUAGGCUUUGUGAGUGGAUUUGGUAGACAGAAACUGAAAGAAGGCGGCAAGCUGGCAGAAAUGUUAGAAUGCCGGGCGAAAUGCUUAGCGGUAUUUCGUCUGCUGCUAUGUUCUGAGUUCAAAUUCUGCCAAGGUUGACUUUACCUUUCAUCCUUUUGGGGUCGAUUAAAUAAGUACCAGUUAUGCACUGGGGUUGAUAUAAUCAACUUAAUCCAUUUGUCUAUCCUUGUUUGUCCCCUCUGUGUGUAGCCCCUUGUGGGCAGUAAAGAAAUAAGAAACUGAAAGAAUCCCAUUGUGUGUGAACAAACACACAUACACACACAAUUUCACACACACACACACACACACACACACACACACACACACACAUGCACACACAAAUGUGUAUGUGUGUUUAUGUUUCUUUGUCGUAACAUUGUAUAACAGUUGUAAAUGAAUGUCACUGUUGUACAAGCAGUGUCGUUCAUUUCCAGUGUUGUGCAAAAACAAGUCUAGUCACGAGGAAAUAUUAUUUUCUUGGAAACCAGUGAUGGCUGGCAACAGGAAGGGCAUCUAAGCCUACUGCAAUAAACUCCAUCUGACUCAUGCAAGCAUGGAAAAGUGGAUGUUAAAAUGAUGAAUGACAAGGAUGUUGUCCCAUAGAUGUUGUAGAUGGCAUCACUAUUCUUGAUAACUAUUGUAGAUGUUGAAGAUGUUCUUCCAUAGUGGUUGUUGUUGAGGUUAUUUUUGUCAAGGAUGUUCUUCCAUAGUGUUUAUUGUGCAUGACAUUACCAUUGUUUCUAAUUAAUAUAAUUUUUAUUUACACACUGUUGAUAUUGAAAGAGAGUAUUCUGAACAUUACAAAGUAAACUUGAACAUGCCUUUAUCAACUGAUAUUGUUUCUGUCGGUAAUUUCAUUGUUGUUUCACUACAGGUCAGCCAUGCCUGUGUAGGCCUAUGAUCAAAGAUGUACACUCUGUGACCAUUGUGUCUUUAUUUUUGUUUAACUCUUUAGCGUUCAAACAGGCCAUAUCAGGCUCAGGGCCGCUCACUCCGUCCUGCAAUGUCAGCCUAAAAAUAAACACAUCAUCAAAAUCUCAAAGCUACAAGACAAUGCAUGAUUAAUUCAAAACAAUGUGAAUAAAUAACCAUUACAUUUGACAGAGUAAUUUGAAUACUAAACAGUUAAAGUAACAAGCAUCUAAAACUGUCCUUCCUUUCUUAAGACACUAGUAUAUGCUUUAAGAUGUAUUUGACUGCUAAUUCUAUUAAAUCUAACAACAGUGUAGUGGUUCUCUGUAAAUGCUGUAUAAUUAUGUGAUUGUACACAACAUUUAUAAAUACUAAAGGAAACCUGAAAUAAAUCAAAAUAGUGCUGAAGUAGAUAUGAAAUAAAAAAAUAAAAUAAAUGUGCCCUUUUUUUUUUAAAGCCCUGUCAGGCUCAUGGGCCCGGUUUCCCAGUUUCUAUGGCGUAUUUGUUCCCCAGCUGGACGGGACGCCAGUCCAUCGCAGUGUUACUCAUUUUUGCCAGCUGAGUGGACUGGAGCAACAUGAAAUGAAGUGUUUUGCUCAAGAACACAACGUGUCGCCCGGUCCAGGAAUCGAAACCACAAGCUUACAAUCAUGAUGCUGACACCCUAACCACUAAGCCAUGUACCUCCACAGAUAUGAUGUGGUAUAGUCUAUUAUAGCAUAGCAGAAUUCAUAUAUCAGUUUGAUAAGUCUGGUUGCUGUGAGGAAUGAAGAACUGCAUAAUCAAAAGUCUUCACUAUCCUUCAGAGAGUAAGGGAAAAAAGAGAGAAUAGUAUUUUUGUUGCUAGUGUUGUUUGACCAACGCAUAUAAUCCAUCAAGCAACAACACUUUUCCUCUCUUCCUAAUUCUCAGAUGAAGUGCAACAAUGCUGAAAUUUGAGAAACUUCACUCAUCACGACGACUGAAUUCAUCCACCUUUUCUGUGGACCUAACUUUGGACUAAUUAUAUGUGAUGUAGACUACCACCAGAUUUAUUUGACAUUGUUAUGCACUUUCUUAAACACUGAGUUCCCCCUUUCAGUCAGAAAGUAAAUGUGCAGUGUAUGAGAGAGAGAGAGCGUAUACAUAUAUGGUUCCAAGUUCAGUUUCACUGGAUGGGAUCUUGUGCAAAUGUCCCCUUCUACGGCACCAAGGUGACCAAAGCCUUGUGAGUGGACUUGGUGGAAGGAAACUGAAAGAAGCCUAUCCUGUAUAUAUAUCAAAAAGUAUGAAAAGUCCUUUCUGAGCCACAGGCACAUAAGAUUUGUUUCCCAGAUUCUGUAUUAAAUAUAUCUCCUCCACCCCUGGAUGGGAUGCCAGUCUGUUGCAGAAUUGCUCAUAUUUACCAACUGAGUGGACUGGAGCAACAUAGAAUGAAGAGUUUUGCUCAAGAACACAAUGCAUUGCCCAAUCAGGAAUUGAAACCACAAUCUUACGAUCAUGAGUGCAACACCCUACCCACUAAGCCACACACGCCCACGUGUAUGUGUGUGUUUGUGUCUGUGUUUGUUCCAAACCACCACCACCACCACCACCACCACCAUCGCUUGACAACUAAUGUUGGUGUGUUUAUGUCUCCAUAACUUAGCGGUUCAGCAAAAGAGACCAAUAGAAUAAGUACCAGGCUUACAAAGAAUCAGUCCUGGGGGCGAUUUCUUUGACUAAAAGCUGGUGCUCCAGCAUGACCGCAAUCAAAUGAUCGAAACAAAUAAAAGAAAUAUAUAUAUAUAUAUAUAUAUAUAGAUAGAUAGAUAGAUAUUUGUAUGGUGUGAAUAUGUACUGGUGGUUUAUUUUAAAUAUAGGAGUGGCUGUGUGGUAAGUAGCUUGUUUACCAACCACAUGGUCCCGGGUUCAGUCCCACUGCGUGGCACCUUGGGCAAGUGUCUUCUACUAUAGCCUCGGGCCGACCAAAUCCUUGUGAGUGGAUUUGGUAGACGGAAACUGAAAGAAGCCCGUCGUAUAUAUGUAUAUAUAUAUGUGUGUGUGUGUGUUCGUGUGUCUGUGUUUGUCCCUCUAGCAUUGCCUGACAACCGAUGCUGGUGUGUUUAUGUCCCCGUUACUUGGCGUUUCGGCAAAAGAGACUGAUAGAAUAAGUACUGGGCUUACAAAAGAAUAAGUCCCGGGGCCGAGUUGCUCGAUUAAAAGGCGGUGCUCCAGCAUGGAGUAAAAGAGUUCAAAUAUACAGAAAAUAAAAGACAAAAUCCAGCAAAGGAACAACAUGUAGGUGUAUUAGUUUUUAUUAUUUUAAAUAUACCUGCUUUUGACAUUGUUUUAUUACUUAGGCCAGCCUUGUAUAUAUGUAUAUAUCCUUAUUUGUAGUUAUACUUGUGUAUAUGUUCGCAUAUGUAUAUAGACAUUUGGCACAUAAAAAGCACCAUCCGUUUGUGGCCGUUGCCAGCGCCGCCCAGACUGGCCUCGUGCCAGUGGCACGUAAAAAGCACCAUUCGUUCGUGGCCAUUGCCAGCCUCGCCUGGCCCCCGUGCCGGUGGCACAUAAAAAGCACCAUCCGAUCAUGGCCGUUUGCCAGCUCCGUCUGGCACCUGUGCGGGUGGCACGUAAAAAGCACCCACUACACUCACGGAGUGGUUGGCGUUAGGAAGGGCAUCCAGCCGUAGAAACACUGCCAGAUCUGACUGGGCCUGGUGCAGCCUUCUGGCUUCACAGACCCCAGUUGAACCAUCCAACCCAUGCUAGCAUGGAAAGCGGACGCUAAAUGAUGAUGAUGAUGAUGAUGAUGUAUGUAUAAAAUGUAUAGAGAGAGAUAGAAAUUUUAUUCUUUAUUAAACUAGUUGGGGGUAUUUUGUAAGCUGUACCUUCUACCAAAGUAAAUCAAAGGUAAUUUCAUUUUUCCAUUAUUGCUCAUUUCAGUUACAAAGCUUAAUAACAUGGCACACUCUUCAAUUUCCCAAAUUUGCCAAUAAAUUUGUGUAGUUUUUAUACUUAUUUAAGAAAUGAUUAUUUUUUUAACGUUGUAGUAUGUUUUUUAAUCAAGGUACAUAACUCUGACUAUAUUUGUUAACUAAUAUUAUCUAACAUAAACGAAGCUCAGUACCACAUACUUAAACCACAUUUGAAUACAUGAUACUAGGAAGAGUAUCUGUUUGGCAUGUGGGUGGGGGUGGGUAUACACCUAAUCUAAACAUCUCUAACAGACAAUGAAAUUUCCAUAAAUAUGUUGAAUGAAAAAUAUCUACUGCUAAAAUAAAAGGAUAUGUAUUAUAUAUUGGUCUACAUUUUUUGCACAACACACACACACACACACACACACACACACACACACAUGCACAGUUUCAAGCAUUGAUUAACAGACUAAUAAAUAAAUAUGUUUGUUAAUGCUGAAGGUCUGUUAAAUCAAAAGAAACCUAGGGAACAUCUUUAAUGGUUUAUUAUAUAGAGUAAAAAAAUUUUUUAAAAAAGCUUUGAUACAAUAUAAACUUCUGCACAAUGUAAAAUUAUUGAAUUAUAAUGAAAAAAAAAUCUGUAAUUCUUUUCUUUACCAUUUGAUAGUAUGGUUGAAAAUGGUUUUAUCAGAAACAUAAUGUAUUUUAAUAUUAUUAUUAUUAUUAUUAUUAUUAUUAUUUAGUUGUUAAGUCUGAAAUACAUCAUGUCAGUCUGUUAAAAUGAGGAUUAGCUCUGUGUGUGUGUGUGCAGAGAGAGAGAGAGAGAGAGAGAGAGAGAGAGAGAGAGAGAGAGAGGGAGAGAGAGACAGAUAAACAAUAGAUAGAUAAGAGAGAGAGAUAAAUACAAAUAUGUAACCAAGAAAGCUAUUGUUCUUUAUAUAUAUGUGUGUGUGUGUGUGUGAAGGCGCAUGGCUCAGUGGUUAUAGCGUCGAGCUUAUGAUCGUGAGGUUGUGAGCUUGAAUCCCGGACCAGGCUGCGUGUUGUGUUCUUGAGCAAGACACUUUAUUUCACGUUGCUCCAGUUCACUCAGCUGUAGAAAUGAGUUGCGACGUCACAGGUGCCAAGCUGUAUCGGCCUUUGCCUUUCCCUUGGAUAACACUGGUGGCAUGGAGAGGGGAGGCCGGUAUGCAUGGGUGACUGCUGGUCUUCCAUAAAAAACAACCUUGCCCGGACUUGUGCCUCGGAGGGUAACUGUCUAGGUGCGAUCCCAUGGUGUGUGUCGUGACCAAAGGGGGUCUCAGAAUAUAUAUAUAUAUAUAUAUAUAUAUUCACACACACUACACUCUGUGGAAUUGUUGGCAUUAGGAAGGAUAUCCAGCCUUAGAAAUUUGCCAAAACAGACUGGAGUCUGGUGCAACUCUCUGGCUUACCAGCUGUCAAUGGAUGCUAAAUGAUGAUGACAACAUAUAGAUACAUAUCUGCAACUAACAAUUCUAUUGUUUCUUAUAUGUAAUGUGUGUAUAUAUAUAUGUAUUCAUUCACAAGAUGAAGUAAAUGGCUUUUACUGUAGAUCUGGGUUGACAUAGGUGUAUAUGGCCUAGCAGUCAGGGUGCUCAGGUUCAGUUCCUGGAAUGGACAGUGCAUUGUGUCCUUGAACAAGGUACCUCAUUUCAUGUUACUCCAUGAGUUUUCUCUCCUUCUCUCUUCUCCCCCUCUCUCUCAAGCUAUCACAUCUGAGAUAUAACACUGGGUUAGGGUGAAGGACUGGUUGGGCAUUUCUGUUUGCAUGCUAUUAUAUUGACACACAAAACAAUUUGCAAAAGCAUGGUACCUCUUAACUAAGCCAUAUUCACUCCUGAGUGGUGGCUGGCUAUAUCAUAUUUAUUAGUAUAUUAGAAUAUCUUGUGUGUUCAAAUAGCUGUAUGACUGCUGCUAUUAUAUUUAGAGUUCCACAUAGAUCUUCAUGUUCCAGUCUGCUUCCAAUAUAUUUAUUUCUUUAUUGCCCAUAAGUGGCUAAACAUAGAGGAGGACAAACAAGGACAGACAAAGGAGUUAAGUCGAUUACAUCGAUCUCAGUGCGUAACUGGUACCUAUUUAAUUGACCCUGAAAGGAUGAAAGGCAAAGCGAACCUUGGUGGAAUUUGAACUCAGAACAUAACGUCAGACGAAAUACUGCUAAGCAUUUCGCCCAGCGUGCUAACGAUUCUGCCAGCUUGUGGCCCUAUCUGCUUCCAAUAUAUUGGCCAAGUAACUAAUAUACUUAAUAGUAUUACUAGUUGUGGAAAAUAGAGCAAAUGUAGGGAAAGUUAAGACAAUCAUGCGUUUAUAUUAUUAGUUCUUUUUUUUAUCUGCCAAAUGCUUUCUUUCUACCAAAAUACUUGACAUCAGUUCUCUUAUAACUUAAUGGAAUAAAGUAUUUCCUGUUGAUCCAUCCUGGUUAAGCAUCCAAAUGCACUUGAAACAUCCAAUGAAGAUUCCAAGCAACAAAAGUGGUGAAACGUACAUAAGUAUUAAUAAUAUAAACUGGAAAAAUCCAGUACAGCACACCAAAGAAGACUUAGGUGAAACACAUUGAGGAAGCUUAAAUUCUGCAUUAUUUUGAAGGAUUUUAUGCAUUUAACCCUUUCGUUACUGUAUUUAUUUUGAGGUGCUCUGUGUUUCUUUCAAUUACUUUAAAUAUAACAAAGAAUUUAGUAAAAUAACUUAGUUAUCAUUCAGCUAGUGUUAGGAACAUAAAUUGUGACUAAGGUUUGGUGGAAGAUUUUAAUUCAAAGCUCAUGAAAACAAGACAUUUGUACUCAGAGCCAAAGCCGGUUUCACCCUGGUUGGUAACGAAAGGGUUAAAAUAUAAUAAAUAUAAUAUAAAUUAUUUAUAUAUUUUAAGUUACAAAACAAUUUGUUGUGAUAUUAGAAUUUUCUUAUUAAAUAAAAUUUCAUCAAACUAUUUCUCUGUCAUUUACGACUCUAUACACUUCUUAUCAUUUUCUCUUGUAUUGUAUUACAUAUUCUAUAUGUUUUGUAGCAUGAUACAUUAAGCAACUUUCUUAGGAGUACUACCAGAUUACUUGAAUUCAUAUAUAUAUAUAUAUAUAUAUAUAUAUAUAUAUUUUGGAAGUUUUAGUUUACCAAAUUUCACAAGGCAUCUGUUAAGCUAUGGUAGAAGACAUUUGCCUAAUAUGCCACCCGCUGGGAUUGAAUCCAGAACCAUGGGGUAAUGAAACAAUCUUCUUUACUACACAGCCUUGAUUGUGCUGCAGUGAUCUGCUGUGGAAUUUACACAUUUCAUUAUUUUAUACAAGAAUAUGAUGGGCCACAGUUCUGCAGAUAUGCUUCUAAGAGUUAAUAUUUAUUGUAACUAACUAUAGGCUGGCCUGCUGACCUUUUAGUACAUGAUAUCUUUGUACAGUUUGUCACAUUCAACAUUGUGGGAAAAUACAUAAUUGUAUGUUCUACCUUAUCAAUUAUCAUGUUAUUAUCUUUCAGGGUUUUUUUCUAAUUUUUAAUUUAGUCUUAUACUAUCAAUUUGAUUGGAUGUAAUUUAAUAUAGUGAUAAAAUGAAAGGCUGCAGACUGAACAGUACUCACUUAUUAUCCUAUUACAGUCCAACCAAUAAAAUGCAUAUACACCCAAUAUAAAUAAAAGUAUGUAAGUAUUUGUGUGUGUGUGUGUGUGUGUGUGUGUGUAUGAAUCUUUUUGGAAUCAUAUAUAAUUAGUAAUAGAAAAUUAGAUAUUUUUCAUAACAAUCAAAAUUCAAGUAAAAAUGAUGUUAAGGUAAUUUGUAAUAAUAGAAUGAAAUAACCCAUAUUGAUUCUCUUUCUAAGCCAAAUACAUGAUUAAUAAUAAUAUUGAUGAGGAAAAUAAUAGAAAUGAUAAAUGUAGGAAUUGUAUAAAUAAUGAUGUUAAUGAAAAUUGUGAUUGCAGGAUUAGAGAAAAUUGCUAACUUAAUAAUAAUUGUAAGCAAGAUUACCUUGUAUAUAGGUGUGUAGUGAAUCUAAAGGUUUAAAUAUCCUCAUAGUGUGUAUAUAUAUUUAGAUUUUUUGCAAGCAACUUGCAAAAGCAAGUGUUACCAGAUGAAAGCUCUACAUACUGGAUACUAGCAAACUUAUGAGGUCAUCAGGAGAGAAUGUGCUGCAUUUUGGGGCCUUCUCCUCGACAGCAUUAUUGUGCACUGGCUCCACCUACUGAAAUGAGGUUUCACUCAGUAUUCUUCUAACUAUUGCUGAUCAUCUCUUUUCAACCAAACCCAGUGGCUUGCCUUUCCCACUGUAGUCUGGAUAUCAUCACUCAUGAUGAGUUAAGUCUAGUGACAACAACAAUUGCUUCACACUGUGUUAUCAUCAUCAUCAUCAUCAUCAUCAUUUAACAUCCGUUAUCCAUGCUGGCAUGAGUCGAACGGUUUGACCAGGGCUGGGAAGCUGAGGGGCUGCACCAGACUCCAGUCUGAUUUGGUAUGGUUUCUAUGGCUGGAUGCCUUUCCUAAUUCCAACCAGUCUGAGAGUAUAAUGAGUGCUUUUAUGUGCUACCAGCACAGGUGCCAGUCGUGUGACACCAGUAUAUGCCACGACUAUUAUUUCACUUGGCUUGAUGGGUAUCCUGCUGAGGCACAGCAUAUUGCCAAGGAUCUCAGUCAUUUAUCAUUGCCUCUAUGAGGCCCAACGCUCAAAAGGUGCUUUCUUUUCUUUUACUCAUUUUAGUCAUGUGGUUUCAGUCAUGCUGGAGCACCACUGUAGGUGCACUCAUCUUAGAUGAAGAUGAUGUAAACAUGUAUGGAUGUGUGUGUGUGUGUGUGUGUGUGUGUGUGUGUGUAUGUGGAGAGAGAAAGAGAGAGAGAGAGAGAGAGAGAGAGAGAGUCGUUUUGUUUCCUGUUCUGUAUCAUGUUCAUGAUGUUGUUUCUAUUAGAUUCUUAUUACAGUUCUUUAAUAAAACGAUGUAGCUUAAUUAUGAUGUUUAGUGUUCCAAUGUACAGUAAACAACUUUACUUAUUAUCACCACAAGCGUGUGUGUGUGUGUGACUGCACACAGACAUGUGUAUAUCUGUGUGUGUGUGUGUGUGUAUGUAUUUGUAUGUACAUUAUAUAUGUAUGUGUAAAAGGAAUGAAUAUAUCUUUUAAACAUUCCUAUUUUCACAUAAAAAAUGGAAACAGAUAUGGUGUGUGUAUAUAUAUGUUUAUUUCAAAAAUUUUUGUAUGUGUAAACAAGCAUCAGUAUUGUUAACUCAAAACAAAGCUCAUAUUAUAUUCCUUACUUACAAUUGUAAAUCCAAGUUUUCUCUAAUGAAUAUUAGCUAAACGGAUACUAGAGAUGUUUACAAAAUGUGGUCUUCCAAAUUCUAGAUUUCAAGAACUUCAUAUACAGUUCAAGUGUUUUUAUUGUAUUUUGUUUAAAUUACAUCGCAAUAGAAUAGUUAUAAAAAAAAAAUAAUAAUAAUAAUGAAAUUAUUGUAUACAGUGCUCAGAUGCACCACAACUUGUCAGAAAGUGCAUAUAAAGUACAUGCAGUAAUGUAGAAAUGUCUGGAAAGUGAACAAUGUAUGAGUCAGAUACAUGCUUGUGUGUGUAUGGAGGGGAGAAAAUCAAGUGUAGUGUUGGCGAAUCUCAGGAGGCAUGGAAGUUUUGAAGGAUGCAGUGCUCCGACAACUAACAACUGAUGCCGGCAGUUUGUUCCACACUUCAGCAACUCUCAGCGUGAAAAAAUGUUUCCUGAAGUCAUGGGAGCUGUGCUGUUUUCUUACUUUGUAAAUAUGUCCACGGGUGUUAGAUGGGUGGAGUUUGAAAAGGUGCUCAGAGUUAUUGUUUGUACGAUGGUUGAUAAUUUUAUGGGUGUCUGCCAUAUCCCUUCCCAUACAAAAACUUCCUAUUAGCAAUGUGAAAUAUUUUACAUGUGGACAGCAAAUGGUUCAAAUGAUGAAUUGUAUCCACCUUGCUUUUAUUUUAGUCCAUAACAAAGUUCCUAAGUUGAGUUAAUAUAAGGAAAAUGGUUUUGAAAUCUUGGAAUAUUACCCAUCAUUUGAGAUUGAGGUAGAGAGAGGACAUGGAGUUGCUGUUGUUAUUGGUUACCUCUAUUUCAGCUCUUAUUGAAAAGAUCUACGACUAUAACUAUUUCAGUCAGGAUGAUCUGGCCCCUGCGCAGUUAUAAUAUAUUCAUUAUUAGAUAAUCAUAUGUAUUCGUAUUUUUUAGACAGGCUCAUGUUUUGGGAUAAAAGAAUUGAAUAUGUCAUAUUCAUCACCAUACUUCUAAACACCACUUCUGUCAUUGCUCUUCCAAAUGCUGCUUCUACAAUUACACUUCUUCCAAACACCUCUUUUGUCAUUACACUUUCAAACACCACUCUUCAAUUACAGUUCCGAACACCACUCUACAAUUACACUUCCAAACACUGUUUCUACCAUUACGUUUCCAAACAUCACUUCUGUCAUUACACUUCCAAAUGUUGCUUCUCUCAUUACGCUUCUUCCAAACACCUCUUUUGUCAUUACACUUUCAAACACCACUCUUCAAUUACAGUUCCGAACACCACUCUACAAUUACACUUCCAAACACUGUUUCUACCAUUACACUUCCAAACAUCACUUCUGUCAUUACGCUUCCAAAUGUUGCUUCUCUCAUUACACUUCUUCCAAACACCUCUUUUGUCAUUACACUUUCAAACACCACUCUUCAAUUACAGUUCCGAACACCACUCUACAAUUACACUUCCAAACACUGUUUCUACCAUUACACUUCCAAACAUCACUUCUGUCAUUACACUUCCAAAUGUUGCUUCUCUCAUUACACUUCUUCCAAACACCUCUUUUGUCAUUACACUUUCAAACACCACUCUUCAAUUACAGUUCCGAACACCACUCUACAAUUACACUUCCAAACACUGUUUCUACCAUUACGUUUCCAAACAUCACUUCUGUCAUUACACUUCCAAAUGUUGCUUCUCUCAUUACACUUCUUCCAAACACCUCUUUUGUCAUUACACUUUCAAACACCACUCUUCAAUUACAGUUCCGAACACCACUCUACAAUUACACUUCCAAACACUGUUUCUACCAUUACGUUUCCAAACAUCACUUCUGCCAUUACACUUCCAAAUGUUGCUUCUCUCAUUACACUUCUUCCAAACACCUCUUUUGUCAUUACACUUUCAAACACCACUCUUCAAUUACAGUUCCGAACACCACUCUACAAUUACACUUCCAAACACUGUUUCUACCAUUACGUUUCCAAACAUCACUUCUGUCAUUACACUUCCAAAUGUUGCUUCUCUCAUUACACUUCUUCCAAACACCUCUUUUGUCAUUACACUUUCAAACACCACUCUGCAAUUACAGUUCCGAACACCACUCUACAAUUACACUUCCAAACACUGUUUCUACCAUUAUGUUUCCAAACAUCACUUCUGUCAUUACACUUCCAAAUGUUGCUUCUCUCAUUACACUUCUUCCAAACACCUCUUUUGUCAUUACACUUUCAAACACCACUCUUCAAUUACAGUUCCGAACACCACUCUACAAUUACACUUCCAAACACUGUUUCUACCAUUACGUUUCCAAACAUCACUUCUGCCAUUACACUUCCAAAUGUUGCUUCUCUCAUUACACUUCUUCCAAACACCUCUUUUGUCAUUACACUUUCAAACACCACUCUUCAAUUACAGUUCCGAACACCACUCUACAAUUACACUUCCAAACACUGUUUCUACCAUUACGUUUCCAAACAUCACUUCUGUCAUUACACUUCCAAAUGUUGCUUCUCUCAUUACACUUCUUCCAAACACCUCUUUUGUCAUUACACUUUCAAACACCACUCUUCAAUUACAGUUCCGAACACCACUCUACAAUUACACUUCCAAACACUGUUUCUACCAUUACGUUUCCAAACAUCACUUCUGCCAUUACACUUCCAAAUGUUGCUUCUCUCAUUACACUUCUUCCAAACACCUCUUUUGUCAUUACACUUUCAAACACCACUCUUCAAUUACAGUUCCGAACACCACUCUACAAUUACACUUCCAAACACUGUUUCUACCAUUACGUUUCCAAACAUCACUUCUGUCAUUACACUUCCAAAUGUUGCUUCUCUCAUUACACUUCUUCCAAACACCUCUUUUGUCAUUACACUUUCAAACACCACUCUUCAAUUACAGUUCCGAACACCACUCUACAAUUACACUUCCAAACACUGUUUCUACCAUUACGUUUCCAAACAUCACUUCUGUCAUUACACUUCCAAAUGUUGCUUCUCUCAUUACACUUCUUCCAAACACCUCUUUUGUCAUUACACUUUCAAACACCACUCUUCAAUUACAGUUCCGAACACCACUCUACAAUUACACUUCCAAACACUGUUUCUACCAUUACGUUUCCAAACAUCACUUCUGUCAUUACACUUCCAAAUGUUGCUUCUCUCAUUACACUUCUUCCAAACACCUCUUUUGUCAUUACACUUUCAAACACCACUCUGCAAUUACAGUUCCGAACACCACUCUACAAUUACACUUCCAAACACUGUUUCUACCAUUACGUUUCCAAACAUCACUUCUGUCAUUACACUUCCAAAUGUUGCUUCUCUCAUUACACUUCUUCCAAACACCUCUUUUGUCAUUACACUUUCAAACACCACUUCUACGAUUACACUUCCAAACAGUGCUUCUUUAAUUACAUUUCCAAACACUGCUUCUUCUUUUACAGUUCUAAAUACUGCUUCUACCAUUACACUUCCAAGCACUACUUCUACCAUUACAACUCCAAAUGCUGCUUCUCUCAUUAUACUUCUUCCAAGCACCAUUUUGAUACUACACUUCAAGACAACUUCUACCAUUACACUUCAAAACACUGCUUCUACACUUACACUUCCAAGCAGCACUUCUUCCAUUACACUUCCAGACACUACUCUUACCAUUACACUUCCAAAUAUUACUUCUACCAUUACACUUCCAAACACCAUUUCUACCAUUACACUUUCAAAAUAUGCUUCUUCCGUUACACUUCCAAACACUGCUUCCACUAUAACACUUCCAAACACUGCUUCUGUCAUUACACUUACAAAUGCUGCUUCUACCAUUACACUGCCAAACACCACUUCUAUGAUUACACUUUGAAAUACCACUUCUUCCAUUUCACUUCCAAACACUACUUCUGUAAUUACACUUUCAAAUACCACCUCUGUUAUUACACUUCCAAACACCACUUUUCUCAUUACACUUUGAAAGUCACUUUAACGAGCAAAUGAAGAUACCUCUAUGUUGCUGCUCAAAAUACUGUCUUAAAAGUAAGAGACCUAUUGGACAAUAUAUUAUGAAUAAAUAAUGUUUGAAAAGACUCAUAGAUUGCCAUAUCUUGAAGGUCUUUGAUCAUUGAACUAUUUGAUCAGAGCUGACAUGGGACUAAAGAAUGACGAUGACAACAACAUUCCUUUUAAUCAUUGCAGAUCCAAUCACUAUUUCUAUCAUAAUUCUAAAUACCAGAACUUUCACCAAAAUUCCAAAUACCACUCCUACUACCAACUUUCACCCCUCCAAUAUCCUUCAGUGUGGCACUUCAUCUCUAUAUUUCCUAUAUGAUGUUAGUUUGCUUUGGUUAAUGAUGUUUUUUGAGUAUGUACAUCCUGUUGAGUUAUUUAAAGUUUACAGAGGGAGGGAGCACCACUGACGGAUGUGUGGUUUUUUUUAAUGACGUAAUUGAAAUUUAUUGGGGUAACACAGAAAAUAGCUGGUAUUUUAUUGUCAGGAAUUACGUUGAAGUGCUUUCUUUUUUUUCUAAAAAAACUAUCCUACAUAAUUCAUCCUCUCUCCCUCACUUUUUCUCCUCAGAGUAUGUAUACAUGCAUAUGUGUAUAUAGAUAUACAUACACAUGUGUAUGCAUGUAUUGUUAUGUAUAUGUGUCUAUAUAUGCAUGUGUGUGUGUGUGUAUAUAUAUAUAUAUAUAUAUAUAUAUAUGUGUGUGUGUGUGUGUGUGUGUAUGUAAUCUUUUAUUUGUUCCAGUCAGUUGACUGUAGCUGUGCUGGAGCACGAUGUGUGUGAAUGCAUAUAUAUAUAUGUAUAUAUAUAUAUAUAUAUAUAUAUAUAUAUAUAUAUAUGUAUGUAUGUAUGUAUGUAUGUAUACACAUGUCUGUAAAAGUGUGUAUAUAUAUAUAUAUCUUGUUUCAGUCAUGCUGGAGCACCACCUUGAAGGGUUUUAGUCAAAUUAAUCAACCCCAGGCCAUAUUUUUAAAGCCUAAUACUUCUAUUAUUGCUCUCUUCAGCUGAACUGCUAAGUUACUGGGACAUAAACACACUAACACCAGUUGUAAAUUGAUGAGGCUGAUGAACAUAGAUGCAUAGACACACACACACACACACACACACACGCAUACACACUCACACACACACACACGCAUACACACUCACACACACACACACAUGAUGAGCUUCUUUCAGUUUCCUUCUAAGAAAUCCGCUCACAAGGCUUUGGUCAAUCAAAGCUACAGUAGAAGACACUUGCUCAAGGUGCCAUGCAGUGGGAAUGAACUCAGAACUAUGUAGUUGGAAAGCAAGCUUCUUACCACACAGCCAUGCCUGUGUACACACACACACACACACACACAAACACACGCACAUACACACAGGGGAUGCUGGGUAAAUUGUCACCAUUUUAUAUUUUUAAUUUCAUGAAUGUGCUUUGCUUGUUUUUGAUUUUGUUGAGUACACAGUACAGUAGAGUCAGUUGGGUACUGUCUGUGAGAAAAAAAAGCAAGCACCAUGGCACAAUUCACUCUGCCAGAAAUUUGGAAAUGAUAUGCUGUACUGUUUGGCAUUCCAGCGGGAAGCUCCAAUAUGAACAUUUCAGAGUGUUUGGGUGUAAAUCUUAGGAGAGUGCAGAGGAUUCGGAAAUAGUUGGAUGAGUCUAAUGGUGAUUAUGAAGGUAUGACAGCUCUGAAAACUCACUCUGAUCAUUCCGAUAGAAAAGAACUUCUGAAUUUGUUGGCGAGAUCCGGGCCAUGAUUGUCAACGAUCCCUCCAAGUCAAUCAGGUCCAUCACGAGGGAUAUGGGAGUGUCUGAGUUUUUUAUCAGGCAAGUAGCACAUGAAGACAUUCAGUAUUCCUCAUACAAGAUGAGAAAGGGUCAAUUUUUAUCCCAAGCCAUCGAAGGCAAGAGGAAAGAUCACACAAUGAAGCUUUUGAACAAAUUCAAGUAUCCGUCCCUACCAACUUUGGUUUUUCUCAGAUGAGAAAAAUUUCUGCCAGAUGGUGAACACACAGAACAACCAUUGACUUGCCGUGUCCCCAAAACAUGUACUGAGAGUGACAAAAAUCAAACAUCCAGUCGACAUCAUAGUGUUUGGAGUGAUCACUAGUGAUGGUGAUGUAAUGCCUCCAUUUAUCUACCCGCACGGCCUCAGACUCAAUGAUGGAAUACCUGGCCUAUGGAAUCCUCACUCCAAUAUCCAAUAGCUUGGAUAUUCUAGAAACAGCAAAUAGAGACUAUGUAAAUCUUUUAUCAUAUCGCUAAAUUAAAUGUCCUUGUCAAGUUUUACCAAACUGUUUGCCUUUUAUUUCCUGCUUUAAUCUACACCCACUGGCUCAAGGGAAAGCCACUUCUAGCAGCUAGAAAGGCAGUCACAAAAUCACAUUUUCAACUGCGUUCAAACCAGAAUUUUAGUGCCAUAUCUAUAAAUUUGAGUGCUCAGAGCACAUACCUAUUAGUUUGAGAACACUCUGACAAAAAAUUUUCAUAUCUUUUAUAUACAUACACACAUAAUUUUUAUUUGAAGCUGAAGGUUCUUAAAUUCUAAUUCUGAGUUAAAUUUUUCAGUUAUUUAUCAGUCUAUUUCAUUAUCAUUGUCACCAUUAUUUAGUACACAUGUUCCAUGAAGCAUGGGUUGAUUGUGUACGUAGUUGUACAUUGGUGUUUCCUUACAGUUGUACUUCUCUAAAUGCUAUAUAUAAUGUGUGUGUUUGUGUAAACUGGUAUCUCAUCAUUUUAGGCAUUAUAGUCUGGAGACUAGUAACCAUGUUAUUAGCUUAUUUUGGUAUGUUUACCACAUUGAUCAUAGUCUUAAAUUGCAUUAGAGAACUCUAAGUAAAGAUGAAGUUUGUCAUUGGUAUAUGAAGAUAAGUUAGACGACAACAUUCAGUCAAUGCUUAACCUUUUAGUAUUCAGAUUAGUUUGUCAAAUGUAAUUCAUUGUUUUGAAUUAAUCAUGCAUUGUCUUGAAGUUUCAAGAUUUCAGUGAUGUGAUUGCUUAUUUUUAGAGUGAUAUUGCUGUGAGAGAUGUGGCUGGUUUGAAUAUAAAAUAAAUAAAAUAUUUUGACAGGAUGUGGUUGGUUAAAAUGUUAACCCUUUCGUUACCAACCCGGCCAAAACCAGCUCUGGCUCUCUAAUACAAAUGUCUUGUUUUCAUAAGUUUUGCAUUAAAAUAUACCACCAAACCUUAGUCGUAAUUUAUAUACCUAACACUAAUUGAAUGAUAACUGAGUUAUUUUACUAAAUUCUUUGUUAUAGUUAAAGUAAUUGAAAGAAACACAGAUCAUCUCAAAAUAAAACAGCAACGAAAGGGUUAAAGGGUUAAAGUUAAUCUACAUUCUGAUAGCAGUGCAAGAAUUUACUUUGUUUAUUACUAUUUGUUCAUUCGCUCAUUUUACAUGAUUUUUCCAUGCUAGAAUGGUUUUUACAAAUAUAUGUAUAUAUAACAGUAAGUUUUUUAUAUAUCCUUGCAGACUCCAUUUCUUGCCUUCACUCUUUCUCCUUUUCUCUCUCUCACCCUCUUACUUCUAUUUCUAGCCUUUCUCCUUUCUUCCCUUUCAUCCCUUCCCUUUUUUCUUUCUCAAUCGGUUUGUCUCUUCCUCUCUCUCCUCUACCUGCUGCUGACACGUGACCUGUGACCAGCUUUUCUUUCUUUCUCUCCCUUUUUCACACCAGUUGCAUAGCUGACUGAUCAUACAUUCUCUGUGUCUCACUGUCUUGCUAUUUGCUGUUUUCUAAUCCUUUAGGAUGCCUUCUAAGCAUUACCCACCAUUCUUGUCUUUUAUGUCCUGAGGCUUAUUUAUUUCAUCUUUGUCCAUCGUCUUAAAUUACACUUAUCCACUUUCGUAUGUCCACUUUUUGUUUGCUCUUGGCCCUAUAUUCUCCACAACUUUCAUAGACACUGCCAGCAUAGGAAGUUCUCAGUGUUAUCAUUAAUGGUGCGAAACUGAAUAAUACCAUCUGGUUGAUAACUGAUGAAGAAUUAGGGACCUUCUGUGUCUGUCUCCUGCCUGGUUGAACACUCAGUUUGUUUAUCAAUACAUUUUUUCAUUUAUAUAUGCACUAUUUGUAGUUGAGAAUGCAUCGAAUAGAUGCCUAGAACUCAUAAAAAAACCCCGAUUAUUUAAAUUUCUAAAAAGAUUUGGUCAACCUAUAACUAUAGAAAAAGAAUAUAAUUUAAUUAAUUACUUGGAUACGAACUAUAAUUUAUUAUCUGGAAUGCAUGAACCAUAUAUAAAACCAAAUUAUGAAUUAAAAUGAUGAUGAUGAUGAUGAUGAAAUUAUCAAAGCAAUCAUCCACCUUCUAUGAAAAAAGCAUUAGUAUAUAAUAUUAGUAAGAGAAUUUCAUAUUUAUCUUAUAAUGACGAUAUAUUUAAUUGACAUAAAGACCAAUAUUCAAGAUAAUAUUAUAAAUAAAAUCAGUAAAUUUGAUAAUAGGAAUAGUGAUAUAAAAACUAAUGAUAAUAAUAAAAAUAAUAGAUAUGUAAAGAAACCAAAUGAAAUUAAAAAUAACAUCUAGUUAAUGAAUGAAAAUAAUUUUAGUAAUUUCAGCAAUAAUAAAGUAUUACGGAGAUGUACUUGCAUAGCGAGUGACUUGAUCUGAGAUUGUGUGCUGGAACGAAAACAAUUGCAGCAUGGAAGGUAUUUAUAAGCCAUUUAAGAAACACAAAACCAUUAGAUUCACUUCAACAUUUAAAUUUAAUUUGUCAAAAUAUUUUUGUCGCUUUGAGACCACGACGUGUUUACUGACAAAACUUUGUGCUGCAUCUUAGAGAUGCAGCACGAAGAUGCAGCAUGAAUUAAAUUUAAAUAUUGAAGUGAAUCUAACGGUUUUGUGUGUUUCUUAAAUGGCUUAUAAACACCUUCCACGCUGCAAUAAUAAAGUAGAUACUAAUAAUAUGGCUUAUAAUCCCAUAUGUCAUGCAAAUAAAAAACUAAUUUGAUGAAAUGUAUUUAUAGGCUAAUUAAUAAGCAUUUCAAUCAUCAUCAUCAUCAUCAUCAUCAUUUAGCGUCCGCUUUCCAUGCUAGCAUGGGUUGGACGGUUCAACUGGGGUCUGUGAAGCUGGAAGGCUUCGUCAGGCCCAGUCAGAUCUGGCAGUGUUUCUACGGCUGGAUGCCCUUCCUAAUGCCAACCAUUCCGUGAGUGUAGUGGGUGCUUUUUACGUGCCACCUGCACAGGUGCCAGACAGAGCUGGCAAACGGCCACGAACGGACGGUGCUUUUACGUGUCACCGGCACGGGGCCAGGCGAUGCUGGCAACGGACACGAAUAUUAUGAAAUUAUUAACAAUAAAAAAAUAAAUAUAGGAUAUAGUUUAACUCAUAACUUGGCUACUAUUAUAGCUUCUGUAAAUAAUAAAGAAUUAGAUUUAUUUUAUUCAAAUAGAGAAUGUGUUAAUAAUAACUCCCCUAAUGCCAGGGCCAAUGUUGGUGAUAUUAGUAGUAAUACUACAAGGUAUUUCAUUAAUAAACAUAAUAUUAUUAAGAAUGAUCAGAAACCAGCUACAUCUAAAGCCUCUUCCUCAACCAAUAUAAAGCUGUAUGGUUAAAAAUUUAUGUAAAUUAAAUAAUGUAGUAUAUCAAUAUAAAGUUACCACAGAAAUUGAUGAUAAAUAUAUUUAUAUUGGAACAACUAAAAAUGAAAUGAAGAAGCGUCUUUCAACACAUUUAUAUAUAUUUCAGAAUAGGAAACGACAGAAUUCAACAGGUCAAAGUAAAUACAUUUGGGAAUUUAAAGAUAAAGAAAUUAAUUUUAAUCUCAAAUGGGAUAUCUUGGUGGCUGCACCUAGUUACUGUAUAAGUAAUAAGAAGUGCCUUCUUUGUUUUAAUGAGAAAUUAUUUAUUUUAAUGGCAACAUUUCCUUUACUUGAGCUGAGGGAUGGAACAAAUAUUUCUUGUCUACAUAAAAGCAAAUAUGUAUUUACUAGAUAUAAAUGAUUUUUUAAAAAGUAUAGUUAUUAUUAAUGGACUGUCAUUUUGAGACCUCAUAAUAGGUAUCUUUAGCUAUUGUAUAGUAAAUUAACAACUCUUAUAAUUAAAAUUAUAAUAGAACUUAAUUAAUAUUUCCCCAUUAUAAAGAUGUGAGUAUACAAAUAGGAACUUAUUGAUGAUAUAUCUAGGUCCCUAUACAUAUAGGUGAAUAUAUGUGUGUGUGUGUAUACAUAUGCAUAUGUGUAUAACUGGGUAUAGAUAUUUACUUAUUUGUUUAUUAUGGGAAGUGGUAUACAUCUAUAUAUGUGAAAGUCUUUGUGUAUAUAUGAUGGUGCAUAUAUCUGAAUGGAUAUGUAUAUAGGUAUAUAUAUAAAGGAGUAUAUAUAUAUAUAUAUAUAUAUAUAUAAGUAUAGCUGUAUUGGUGUUUAUAUAUAUAUAUAUAUAUAUAUAUAUAUAUAUAUAUAUAUAAGUAUAGCUGUAUUGGUGUUUAUAUAUAUAUGUUUAUGUAGGUACAUAUGUGAAGCUGUGUAUGAGUAUAUAUGUAUAUAUGUAAGACUGUGUGUAUAAGGGUGUGCAUAUGUAUAUGUGCAUGAUGAUGUAUAAGCAUGUGUAUAUGUGUGUGUAUAUGUAUAUAUAUAUGUGUAUAUAUAUAUAUGGUGUAUCAUCAUCAUCAUCAUCUUCGUUUAGCGUCCGCUUUCCAUGCUGGCAUGGGUUGGACGGUUCAACUGGGGUCUGGGAAACCAGAAGGCUGCACCAGGCCCAGUCUGAUCUGGCAAUGUUUCUACGGCUGGAUGCCCUUCCUAAACCGUGAGUGUAGUGGGUGCUUUUUAUGUGCCACCGGUGUAUGUAUGUAUAUAUAUAUAUAAUAUAUAUAUAUAUAUAUAUGCAUGUCUAUAUGUAUGUAUGUAUAUAUAUAUGUGUAUAUGGGUAUAUAUAAUAAUAAUAAUAAUAAUUAUAAUAAUAAUAGUAAUAAUAAUAAUGCACCCAGAUAGUUGCCCAUAAAGUGUAUAUACAAGUAGAUACAGAGUAUUUAUCAUCUAUAAUUGGUUAUUGGGCUCAAUGUUCAUAUUUGGAGCCUUUUGUUUAUAUUGAUAUUACUUUGAUUUGAAGUGUGUAUAGACUUUAUUUUUACAUGUAUCUUUAGAGAUGACAUCGCUUUUUUUUUCUUGUUUUGUUUAUAUGUAUCGAUAUGUAAUAUAUAUAUACGAGUGAAUGGAUAAUGUGCUAUAUAUGAGGAUAUAGCGUAUUUAUCUCAUUUAAAAUAUAUAAAUGUGUAUAGAAGUAUAUAUGUAUAUGUGUAUAUAUAUACAUAUAUAUAUUUGUGUGUGUGUAUAUAUAUGUGCAUAUUGGCACGUAAAAAACACCCACUACACUCGCGGAGUGGUUGGCGUUAGGAAGGGCAUCCAGCUGUAGAAACACUGCCAGACUAGACUGGAGCCUGGGGCAGUCCCUAGCUCCCCAGACCCUGGUCGAAACCGUCCAACCCGUGCUAGCGCGGAAAACGGACGUUAAACGAUGAUGAUGAUGAUGAUGAUAUGUGCAUUGAUGUAUUUUUGCAUAAGUGUGUAUAUAUGUGCAUUAAAAAACUUAAUAUGUAUUUAUAUGUAUAUAUGUAUGUCAGUAAAGAAAUAAUGAGGUAUAAAUGUAAAUAUAAUGCAUUUAUCUUAUUUAAUUUGUUGUUUGGGCUUGUUGUUAGUAUGUGGGACAUUUCGUUUGUAUUGUAUUACUUUGUUUUUGUUGUACUUAUAUAUUUAAAUGGAUUUUUUCGUUGACUAUCAAAUUGAUUUUGUUUUUUUUUUGUUUUGUCACUAUAAAUGGAAAAAUAGUUAUCUCCCCCGUAUUCUAAUGGUCAAAUUAAAAAUAUCUAGUUUUGAAUUAAUAUAUAUAAAAUAGUGUUGUAACAUAAAUAGAUACGUGUGUAUGAAUUUUAUAUGCAUGUAAAUUGUAAAAAAUAGAUAUAUGUACACACACACAUAUAUAUAUAUAUAUAUAUAUAUAUAUAUAUAUAUAUAUAUAUAUAUAUUUAUUAUUUGAGGGAAUAAAAUCCAAACUUACAAGGAAAAAGAAUUCAAUUUAGAAAUACUAAAUCAAAUUCCACACAAUAUAAUAUAUAUAAGAUAUUAGAAAAAAACCCACCUUUUAUCAGUUCAAAAUGAAUAAUUUAAUUACACCAUCUAGAAAAUUACAUAUAAUAGAAAAGUUAAAAUUAAAAUAACAAUUAAAAAGUAAAGAUUAAGUAAAUUACAAGAAUAAUGUAAUGUAUAAAAUAGGUAGAUGUUUUAUAUAUUUAUAUAUGUGUAUACAUAAACGUCUGUAUUGUGCAAAUAAAUCAGUUAUAGAAUGGAAUAGUUAUAGAUUUAAAGUUAUGAAUUUACAAAAUUUCAGUUAGAUUAUUUACGUAUUUAUGAUUAAGUUUGUCCUUAUAUAGCGUCUUUGUAAAAGUUUAGAAAUUAUAAAUAUUUUCAUUUGAUAUUUUUCAUCAAAUGUUUAUGAAGGUAUGUCAAUCUGAUGAAGCAUCAUUACAUAUUUAAACAGAUUUGAUUAUUCUUGAAAAACUUUGUUUUAUUAAUGAAGUGGAAACAGCUGUGUAAUUUAUGAGAUGUGUCAUUCGUUUGUGUAAAAUAUUUAAAUUGAAUUGAAUUUAUAAUUGUUCAAUUUAUUGUUUUGUUUUUCCAUUUCUGAUUUAUGCAUACAUAUAUAUAUAUAUAUAUAUAUAUAUAUAUAUUCUUUUACCUGGUUUCAGUCAGAGACUGGGGCCAUACUGGAGCACUGCCUUUCAGUGUUUUGGAGUCUCCUUUCUAUAUUGUUUUUGGUGAAGAAGCGAGUUGGAUAAAGCUGCUCUUCUUCGUAAUUUCUAUUACCAAUCCAUAUGUGUUUUCAUGUUUUUAUUCCAGAUGUAUACAUACACAGGGUUGGAUUAUGACCCUUAGAAACCCUAAGCACAUAAAAUAAUUUGGUGCCUCCUUAUUUGUGUAAUGCAAAAUAUAACCAAUAAUAAACCAUAAAAUAAAUUUUUGUUUUUCAAAAUAAAGGUAAACUAACAGUAAGGUGGAAAUAAUGUUUACUUUUGUAUACUUCCACUUUAUUUAUAUUUGAAAAGUUUUUUCCUACUUCUUUUAAUUGUAAAGCCUUUGGUCAGAUUCUCACUAUGGUACCAUGAACUUAUAUAAAUUAUAAAUUAUAUUUCCAAUCAUAUAAACCACUUUGAAUAUUAUUUUAGCAAGUUUACCAUGUGUGUGGUGACGUACUUUCUUUGAUGUUGUAAACAUUUGCUUAAUGGUUAAUCCAGUGCUGUAUAUAUAUAUAUAUAUAUAUAUAUAUAUAUAUAUAAAGGUAUGUAGAAAAAUACAACAUGGACAAGAACGUAUAACUCUUAGAAGACGAUACAAUAAACACGGACAGGACAUUCGAAACCCUCAGUCUUCAGUCAAGAACCGGAUCAUCGUAGUAAUUUCGGCUGAUUAAUCUUGAGAUUACUAGAUCACGGCCAGCCCUCCAAGAAAAACUAAGCAACGAGCAUUAGAAAAACUAAGCUGGGAGCGUAGAUUUCCUGGAAGAAGGAUCGAAUGCAUACGAACACCAGGACAGCAAAAGGGACGAAUAUAAAAAAACAAAAAACAAUAAUGGAAUACAGAAACAUGAAAUACAGAAGCAUUAACGGUUGAUAGAAAUGGUAAGACAAGAAAAGAAUGAAAGAGACCUCGAUAUUAUGUAAAUAGAGGAAUUUAUCUGUAAGUAUAAUAUAUGUGACAAUUAUUCGGUAGCCAUGAUAAAUCUCAGUUUCGGACAUUGGGGUGGAAACCCAUGCUGCCAUCUCUUCAGUUAUCUGGCCAUUGGAAAAAUGCUAGUAAAGGUAAGGGAGUAAAAAUGUUCAUAGUAUUCGCGUAAACACACAUGUCCAUACCUACACAUGCGCACCCGCACAACCAUAUAUAUAUUUAUAUAUAUAUAUAUAUAUAUUAUACAUAUAAAACAGGUGUCCCACUGUUUUUAUUUACCAAAUUCCUUCAUAAGGCACUGGUUGACCUGACUCUAUCUAAAUUAGCACAUAACAGGACUGAAGACUGAACCUGAAACAAGUGGUCAAAGAGCAAUUCUUAUAAGCACACUGCAGUGCUUAUUAUUUUACCUUGGGCAAGUGGUUUCUAUUAUCGACCCAGGCUACCUAAAGCUUUCUGAAUGAAUUUGGUAGGUAGAAACUGAAAGGAGCCCAUGAGAAACAUACAUACACACACACACACGCACACGCGAACACACACACACACACGCACGCGCGCGCACACACACACACACACACACACAUAUAGGGAAAAUUCACAAAAAAAAAAAAAGACGAAGACAGGUGGUGUAGACAACAAACAGAUGUAUUAGUUUAAUGCUCAAGAAGUGAAAAAGUCUUUAACGUUUCCAGCCUACGCUCUUCCACAGAAACGAACACUGAAAGAAACAAGGAGAGAAAAUAUAGAAUGUGUAGUGGCUAGCAAUCUAUCAUGGUGAAUUCUGGAAGGGUCAUACAGGAGAGCUAGGAAGAAGGGGAGAUAAUAAAGUAGUGGUGAUCCCAAAAAUUAAAAUAAGAAAAGUAGAAGGAAUUUAAAUCAGUGAAGUUUCUUAGCAAAAGAAUGUUACUUUGGUUGAGUCAUAAAUAUUUUCUAAAUAAAUAUAUAUAUAUAUGAUGUGUGUGUGUGCAUGUAUGUAUAUUUGUUUGUGUUUGUCCCCUCACUUGAGGACUGGUGCAAGUUUGUUUAUGUCCCUGUAACUCAGUGGUUUGGCAAAAGUGAAUGAUAGAGUAUGUAUCAAGUUUUUAAAUAUGUACUGGGCUUAAUUUGUUGAAUAAGGGUGCUCUUAUUUGUAACGCCUGCUGUAACAUGAACUCAUCUAGGAUUUCAAAUUUUUUAGGAUAAUUCUGUAAAUUCAGAAUUGUUGAUUGUUAAACUCUUCAAAACAAUGUCCCUGCAUUGAUUAGAACAAAUAAAAUUCCAUUAACUGGAACAAAUUAAAGACAUAGAUGGUUACUCUUCUUUUUUCUAACACAUAAAUAUAAUACGGUAUUCAUUAAAAAAAAAAAUCUUCACUUAAUGAUAUUUGCUUAUAAGUAUUUUUCUACUACUUCUAAGCAGAGAAUGUCAUUGCUCUACCACCUCAGUGUCAAUAUUUAUGCAAAUAUAUUACUGGUAUUCAAUUGAUCUUAGAUAAACAAUUGUUUGAGUUGACCUUCAUCCAAUAUAAAAUUCUUUGUAGUGUACUUAUGUGUAAUUUUAUAUUUCUACAUAAAUGUACAAAUAUGAAUAUGUAAUGUCUGUGCAUUAUUACGUUUCCAUGGAUUUAUGAAUGUGAAUUAAAAUGUGUAAAAGUAUGUUGCAAUUGUACAACUUGAUUCUCUUUCUAUUUCCAUCUUUUUUUUUUUUUAAUUUCAUUUUCAUUUUUCUCCUUGGCUUCUGACAUAACACCUAACAUUCUGAAAAAGAAUGUUACCCGCCUUAUGUUUCCAGAUUACAUCAAAUACUUGAAUAACUUGAAAAACAAAAUGUAAAAAAAAAAAAAAAUAAAAUGAAAUAAGAAAAGUAGAAGGAAUUGAAAUCAGGGAAACUUCUUAGCAAAAGAAUGUUACUUUGGUUGAGUCAUAAAUAUUUUCUAAAUAAAGAUGUUACAAUACAAAUAACCAAAUUCAUUCUGAAUAUUUAUCCUUUAUCUUUAGAAACUUCAAAUUAUCUAUUAAAUAAUUUUGUUAUACAUUUUUACUUUUGUAUUUUUCUCAUUUUGUUUUUGUUGUUUUCAUUUUUUUGGACAAUUCUGUUAAUUCAGAAUUGUUGAUUGUUAAUUGUCUGUCAUUUGUUAAUUGUAUUGUAGUGUUGAUUGUUUAGCAUUGUUUAUUCUAAGUGCAAAAUACUUGUGUGGGACAGACAUUCAAACAGCAGAAACCAAUUGUGAACUCCUUAAAACUCAAUCAGGUACUAUCUCAAAUAAAGUCACAGGUCAUAUUUGACCUCAAUAUAGCUGUUAUUUUAAUGUUAGAAUUUAACUCAUCAGCCAUCAAAUGCACAGAACUCAACCACAUAGCCAUAACAAUUACCUUCAUUGGUCAUCAAUGGACAAACACAAAUUGCUUAUUGUAUAAUACUAGAAAAGAUUCUGUUUCUAAGGAGCCAGUGAUGUUGUCUGACUUCAUCUCAUCUGUGCCAGAGAUAUUAGAGAUAAAUCAAACUCAGCAGGGACACUUAAUCUUGAUAAACCACUUCUCUAGUACUGGUGGUAUGACAAAAUGUACUCAAUUCAUGUUGUAAAGUGAGUGGUGGUGUUGGUGAUAGGAAGGGCAUCUAUCCAGUUUGUAAAACAAUGUCAAGCUCAUAACAGAUUCUAAUACCAUAAAGUAAAUGGGAAAAAUGAAUGUAAAAAUGAUGAAUAAAGCAAGAGAAAAGAAUAAUCAAACUUUGAUAUAAAAAAAAAACUCAGUUUACUAGUUUCUGCUAGUAGACAUAACACACGCACACACACACACACAUAUAUUUAUGAAUAUGAAAGGCUUCCAUGCAGUUUCCAUCUAUCAAGUUCCUGCCGGUAAAACUGACAACAUUCGCCUAAGGUGGCAUGCAGUGAGAUUGAACCUAAAAGUAUAUGCUUGGGAAGCAAAUAUCUUAACCACACAUCUAUGCCUGCACUUUAUACACACACACACACACACAUACACACACACGCACGCGCACACACACACACACACACACACACACACACACACACACACACACACACACACACACACACUCAACAAAAUGAAGGUAAAUAACUCGAUAGUUAUAAACACACACAAUGUGUGUAUGUGAGAGAGAGAGAGAGUAAUUAAAUAUGGUAUGUUUAGGAAUGUGAAAAAGUCUCAUACAUGCAUCUUAAUAUUCAUCUUCCAAUAUUUAAUAUUCAUUUUAUGCUAAUCAAUUCAUAAAUGAGUUGUUUGCAUAAUUUGUUCAUUGUCCAAGCAAUUAUCAAGCAGGGAUGGCCUCCCUUAGUUCCUUAUCUGUGUGAAACAGCAGUGAUUCCUUUUGCCAAUUAUGUUGAAUUAAUUAGUUACGUGCCAGCAUUUGUUACACAACAUAAUAGUCUUGACAUAUUUGUAAUUUACAAAUAUGUAGUUCUAGUCCAGCACCUUUCCUCUCUGCUACUGAGUUUCACCACUUUCUUGCUUAAUAAAUUACUUGCUUGUUAAGCUUAAUUAAUAUACCAUAAAUGAUUGCAAUAGGAGUAAAAUUACAUGAAGGGAUAAAUACUUGCUGCUUGUUUUCUGACACAUUCAUAGUGAUUUUUAAUAUCAUGUGCUAGAAAUAGCAACCAAAUCACCCUCAAAUCACGCCCUAGUAUCUUUAAGGAGACUAUUGAACAUAAUCCUUAGUGUUGGAUAAUAUACAUGUGGCAUUAUUUUAGGCCCUUUAUAUUCUAAUUUCAAAUCCCACUAAGGUUCAAUUUGCUUUUCAUUAUUCCUUAUUCUGGCUUUGAUAAAAUAAAAUGCCACAGUGAAGUACCUGGUUCUGCAUUAUACAGGGUGUCCAUAAAUUAUCUUUACAACUAGUUGUAUUGCAUGCAACCAUUGGAGUUUAUGUGGAAGUGUUCUGAUGUUUCUAAUAAAGCUUUAUUUGUUUGCCUAUAUUUUACAAUAAACUCUGCUGAGUUAUCCUUAUUUUUCGUUUUCCUUCUGAAUUUUUCAAAUUGUAAAGGUAACUUAUGGACACCAUGUGUAUAUGUCACAGGAGCAGAAAGAAAAUGUGAACUGCGCAAGUCUAGAGCCAGUUCCUUGCUUUUGUUCCCAGCAGACCACCAGUGCUUGACUUGCAGCAGAACCUUUCAAACAUGGCCUGAUUAACCACAGCUAGAUGCUCUAUGACCCAUUUUCUUUUACUAUGGGACAUCUUUGGCCAUUGUCGACAAUGACAGAGGGACAUUAUUAUUAUUAUAUUUAUAUUUUGCCCCUGUUCCCAUUGGACUACGUGGUGGUGGUGGGGUACCCUGAAGGAUUUACCUUGUAGAGAGAGAUUCAGUGAUUGAUGUAUUAUUUCUCAAUUUGGGUUUGUUGUUUUACUGAGGUUAAGUUUGCGAAAAAAAAAAAAAUGAGCAGGAGUUGGAGCUUCUGAACAAUGUAGUUGUAUGGCAGAUGGUUUGGGGUAAAGUAUUUAUAGAAGUAUAGGAGAUGAGACAAUGAGGUUGUAGUGCACCAAUUGCUUCUAAAAGCUGAUUUUGUUUAGGUCACAUAUCUGUUGUGGAUAGGCAUUCUAGUUGUGACUGUCCUGUCUUUGUUUCUGCUAUAAUGUUCACAGGGCUAUUUUAUCCUGCAGAGGUAUAUCUCAUUCAUGUUUUAGGACCAUAGAAUGUGAUUUGCAGAAGGUUUACUUCCAAUAUCUGGCAGCCCUGUGAUCACAUAAAUGUUUCUUCUGUGACUUGUUUUUAGGUGAAGCAACAAGAAGAUACAUCUGAUACCCUAUGAUACAAGGCUGAAACUACAUGUCUGUAACAAUAGUCAUUUAUUAUACGUUUGUUUUUCUUCUUGUACCCUGAGGGUCCACCCUGACACUUAAUCACCACAAUUCUAUCUCUCUUUUCAGCUCUACUCUGAUUUCUCCCACCCACUCUUCUAAAAUGUGAGUAGCUAUGAAGCUCCUCAGCAGCAAAAAACCUGUUCUGUUCUGGCCCCAUCUUUCUUCUUUAUUCCCUCAUCUAACAUAAAGCCACAUUUCUCUCUAAUGUAACUUCACUCACUCAAAGGGUCACAGACUUAGGAGCUGCAUGGUGACCUCACUUGUGCUGGUGCUCUGAAAAAAAUCUCCCAGUACAACCUGUAAAAUUGUUAGCAUUAGGAAAGGCAUCCAACCAUAGAAACCAUGUCAAAGCAGAUAUUGGAGCCCAAAACAAUGCUGAAGCUGUCCUUAAACCCCUCAAAUCCUGUCAAACUAUCUGACCUUGUCCAGCAUGGAAGAUGGCAAUAAAAAGAUGAUGAUAAUGAUGUUUCAUAUAUUGCAGAUAAUUUAGCUAAUGUUGUUUAGUCUGACUGAACAGACUUAUGAUCAGGGUUGUUCCAGCUAUGGUCAUUCAGAUACAGUGUAUUUAAGAUUGCAAUAUACCUUUUUAUUUUUAGUUUCAUUUAAAAACACUAGAAUGUGCUGAGGUAGGUUUGGAUGCUAUUUCUUGCAGUUUGGGUAGCUCCCCACAUUGUCUUUUAAAUGAUUGUUGGAAUAUGUACUAGAAUGUCUGGUGGUGGGUGAUAGUUGAGGCAAACUGGUAACAUAUCCUGUUUCUUUUUCAACUGGCAUAUUUCUCUUUCAUCCACUUAAUGCCAUUAAAACAAAACUAAACACUAACACUUCAUCUAUAAGGAAACACUAACAAAUUUCAAUACUAAUAUAUGGAAAUUCUGAAUUUAUUCCUGGAAUUAUUUGAAUAAAAACACUACAAUGUGAAACUUUUAUAUUUCAGGAGAAAACGAUGGUUUUCCACUGCCUCCAACAGAAGAGGAACUGAGAGAAUUUGAUUCUUGGUUUUUCACGUUAUGUAAAGACAAGAGAAAUUCUUCUUAUAAAAAAUUCUUGGAUAUUACUUUAUUAAAAGCCAAAUUCUACAAGCUUCAAU
rnacentral:lncRNA from 1 species